rnacentral:lncRNA from 1 species
GAAAUUGACAUGACUGAAGGAAAGGGAAUCACCAUGCCUAAAGUUCAGCCAUUAGUUGCUUUGUGCCAAGCUCGUCCCAUCGUGAAUAAGGUUUUUUAUAAAUAAAUUUGAUUAAUAUCAUAAGUUGGGUGAUUAUAGUGGAAAAAUAGGUUUUGAUUGCCUAUCUGGUCAAGAUUUUAUUGGAGUAGGACACAGUUAGUGUGUUCUAUUUUUUUUUCUUUUGUUUUAAUGAUUGGAUUAGUCCAUAUCAAAAAAAGGAGGUCAAAUUAUGUAAUAAAUAUCUGUAUUUUAAUUAAAUAAUAAAAUUAAUCCUUUUAUCUUAAUGUGUUUAAAUUGGAUCUUUAUACUUUCUUUAAUUAUCGAAAUUUUGUUAACGGUUCAAACUUUUUCAAUUAAAAUUGAUGACAUGGUAUUUUGACUUUUCUAACGUGACAUUUUUGUUUAUAUGAUCGUUGACUUUAUUGACUUUUGAGGUCAAAAUGAUCAAAGAUAAUAACAUGACAAAAUUUUUUAAUACAUCAUUAUUUUUUCACUUCAGCUUUUCUCAAAUUGUACAGAUAAUCCUUAUACUUUUAUUAAAUGAUAGAAUUAAUCCUUCUAUCUUAAUGUGUGUUCAAUCUUAUCUUUUUAUAUCAAUUAAUUAUUAAAUUUAAGAUUUGACACUCAUUGCAUUCAAAUUUUAUUCUUAAAUUAUUUAUAAUCAAUGCUUUACAAGAUGGAACAUUGAUAAUAGAAAAUCUAAGUUCAACUUGAUUCUAAUGAAUUUUGAAACUUCAAAGACAUAAUUAAAAGAGCUUAAUACUCAAAACAUAUCUUUUAAUGAAGACAAGAAUAUCUUACUUAGAAUAAGACUAGCCAAAAGCUCCCUCCAUAAGUUAAAAGACUUAACAAAGUCUAGGUGAAAGACAACACAUAAAGGACCCCAUGAAUAUAAAUCAUGCUUGACUAAAACAAACCAUCCGAUGCAUUGAGAGCCUUCAAUCUAAUCUAGACUCCCAAAUGAACUCAAAGUUCUUUACUUCCUAAGAUGUCAACAUCUUUGAAAGUGACUUGUUUUUUGGAACAACUUAACUUAUAAAUCUCAAUUUUUAUAUGACACCAUUUGAGAAUAAGGAUGGUUAAAAGAAUCAAUUUUAAGCUUUUUGUAUGGUUGACUAUUAUUAUUAUAUACAUCAACAUUAGAGUUUUUAAAUUCUAUAAAAUGAAUCCUCUUGUUUAUUUAUUAAUUUUUAAGAAAAAUUAUCAAAUAUAUUAAGAAAAUGAAAAUUUUUAAUAUUACAAAUUAAAUAUAUAUUUAGAAUAUAUUUUAAAAAAUUAAAAAAUUAAUUUUAAAAAAAGUGAGACAUGCACGAUCUUAUUAACUUCAUUUAUAAAAUUAAAAAAUUUCCUUAACAAUAGAUUAAACAAUUUUUUUAAAAAAUACAAUUUAACUAGAUAUCAAUCCAUGUUUCACUUUGAAUAUCUAUUUUUGUGUAUGUAAUUAAGAAAAUCAGCAUAAAUUGGUGUUUUGAAUAGUUAUCAUAACGAUUUUGGAGUAGCUUGAUGAAUUUGAAAAUGAAAUAAAAAAAAAAAAGAGUCACCACCAAUAUUUUUUGGCUAGGUGAAAUUGACUACCUAUUAAAACAUAUUCUUUUAAUAAAAUUUUAAAAUUAAUUAAAAUUUAUUAAAAAAAUAAUUUUAAUGUAUGCAAAACAGGUUGGGUCAAGGAGUUAGUUACUUGUAGGAAAAAAUUAGCACCCCUACAGCUCCCGUUUAAAACGGUACCAAUUAAUUAAAUAUUAUCCUUUAAUUCUGACAAAAACAAUUUUAUAUUUAUUUAUUUAUUAUUAUUAUUAUCAUUGUUCUGUUUUAUUUGAGAAAAAUAAAUUAAAACUUUUUUAUUGAAAUAAUUUUUAAAAUGUUUCAGUACAUUGAAAAUAUUAGAAGAACUUUCUCACCUAAAGAUUUCUUAAGUAUCGUUCUCAAAAUACCUUAAAAUCUCAUCUUUAGAGGUCCAGAUUUAUUUUUCAAAAACACUAUUAUACAUGCAAUACAAAUGAUAAUACAUUGAUUUACACAUUUUAUUUUCCUUUUAGAAAAUUUAUUUUUUAUAUUAUAAUUGUUAUUGUUUGAAGAAAUUUUUAUCACAUUAAAAAAUUUUUAUAAAUACUUCAAUAUACUAGCAAUAUUUCAAAAAAAUUUCCUCACCUAUAGAGUUUUAAAGCAUCACUACUUGGAAUAUCUUAAAAUCCUAUCAUCAGGUAAAGAUUUCUUUUCCCUUAUUUUUUAUUAUUUUAUUUUUAACAAAUUAGUUAAUUUUUAUUUACUAUUUUAUAGCAAAAAAAAAAGAGAAAAUUUUUUAUUGUUUGGAAACUUUUUAUAAAUACUUCAAUGUUGGUAUAUUAAAGAAAAUUCCUCUAGGGAUCUAGUACUGGACUUUGAUUAUGUUGUAUUUCAAUUUUUUCAUUUUCUAUUUUUAUUAUUUUUAUUAUUUUUUCAGUAAUUUUUUGGUUAUUUUUUCCUAUUUUUGGUUAUUUUUCCUAUUUUUUUAAUCUUAAAAAUUAUCAAAGUUUAGAAACCUUUUUUAUUAUAUUGGUAUCAUACUAUCAAUUAUUAAUUAUUAUUUUUUAUUAAGAUUAUUCUACAGUUUAAUAAAAAUUAUAAAAAUUUUAAACUAUAUUUUCCAUUUUUUAUUUAAUUUAUCUAUUUUAUUUUGUUUUCAUUUUUCCUAGUUAAAAAAAAUUAGUUAACAAAUUUAAACAUUUUCACAUGCAUAAAUAUUAAUGCUAAAAUUUAUAUAAACAAAAAUAAUAUAAAAAAUAAAUCAAAAAAUGAAAAAAAUUAAACCGGACCGAUCAACGGUUUGGUCUGUAUCAGUUUAGCUAGACUGAUUGGUAGUCAAAAAGGGAAAACUGGGUCACGAGUCAAGCACGCAGAUCUCUGAUCAACCCAUUGGUAUGCACAUAGAUCUUGGAUGAAACGAUGUUGUUUUAAGGCUUAGUCUUCUAUAUAAAAACCAAAAUUUUUUUGUUUUGCCAUCGAUCACCAUUUUCGGUGGUCGAAAAACAAAGGAAAUAUCAAAAGACUCCCCUUUACCCUUUAAGCUCAGAUUUGGUCUCCUUUUUGCCAAGAACAACCUUGAUCAACAUUGAAUAGGCUUUAAAGCUUUAGUUUCCCUCUUUUUUAUAUUUUCAUUAAUUUUAAUUUAUUAUUAUUUUUUAUUUUUUAAUGAUACUAACUUUUCUCUUUUCCUUUAGGCACAUCGCACAGAGCUAAGUUCCCCAAUAGGGGAUUUUUAGAGGCAUGUUGUAUAGGUCCAAAGGGAUUUGGGCAUGGAAGGCAGUGGGUUGCACAAGGGCGUAGGAAUAAGUGGCUAGUGGUGCCGUGCACGGCACCUACUAGCAUUAGCCUCCAGUCUUUUGUUCUUUUGCCUUUUUUUAAUAUUUUUGUAUUAAUGUUUAAUUAAUUAUUAUUUAUUAUAUUUUGAUAUAAAUAAUAAAAUUAAAAUUAAAAAUUAAACAGUGGGCCAAGGCUUAGAAAAAAUUGGGUUUUAGCCUAUUAACUCGUUAGAAUUAAGAAAUUUAAAUUGAAACCUAGAUAAAUUUGAUGUUUACAAUUGCAUCUCUUUAUGCAUUGCUGAGAAUCAGAAAUAGGGUAAAAACAAAGACAACAAUUUUGUCUGGAGUCCAAAGUGAUUUUUUUUUCUAAUUGAUCUAAACUAAUUAAAAAGUUUAUCUCAUUAAAGACCAAAACGCUUUAAAGAUCAAAUCGAAAUACUCCUCUUACUCGAGGCUCGACAACUUUUGAAAACUUAAAAUGGCACCUCUAAGUAAAGACUCAAUAACUUUAAAAUUGACAUCUGAAAAAAAGUUCCUCUGAAUAGAGGCUUAACAACUUAAAAAAGUUCAUCAUCUUUUCUCAAAAUCGAGUUCUUAUCUUUGAGCAAGUAAAUUUUUUUCUUUUAAAAUCUCUUCUUUAAUUAUUAUCUUUGCCUAAUGAUCAAAAUCUUGUUUUCCAUUAUGAAAUUGAAAGUCCUUGUCCUUGUUAUAACUACUCAUUGAUGCAUGUGUUGAAUGCUCUAAAUGCAAUGCAUGUAAUGCAAUCAAAAUCAUUCAUUUGUGGUAAAAGGCUCUCGAAAUCUCUUACCUUUUUAUUUAUUUUAUCAAAAUUCUAAAACAAUUGCCAUAGGACCAAUUUGUUCUUAAUGUCUGACCAUUAUAUUCUUUCUUAACAAUAUUUUUCUUUUUCAAAACUCUACAACAUCAAUGUCUUGUCAUGCUUUUCUUGUCAUUUUUCAUCUGUUUUUAUUGACUUCUAAAAGUAAUGCCCGAGACAUUCCAUGUUAUUUUUUUUUAUCAUUUCAAGUUCAAGAUAAAUAAAAUACAAUCACACAUUCCUCUAAUUCAUUUGUAAGGUGAACAAAUAUGACGAAUUGAGAUAAAAGGAUGGAUAGGCAUUAUUCCCAAAGAAAAGAAAACAUAUUUCAUUAAACUGAUAAUAAGUGCAUGGCAACAAAAGUGUUUAGGUAGAAACAAAUGUACCUAAGUAAUGAUUACAAGAUAAUCAUGAAUAAAAUAUUCCUAGUUUCUUUCUCCAAAACUUAACCAAAUGACUUCCUUAAUUCUUUAGAAUUCGUUAAACUAUAUUUGCUUUUGUGUUGUGAGGUCAUUUCUUAAUGAUACUUCUCUUUUACAUCCAAGUCACAUUUUCAAGUUUUUAACUUAAAUGCCAUUCUUUUUCUUGCUUUUUUCUUCUUUUUUUCUUUUUCAAACGAAGUAUCUUUUCAUAGUAUCUGAGUUUAUCAGAGUAGGCAAACCAUUUUUGUCCAUUUCUACCAAAAUUAAUGCCCUAUCGAAAAAGACUUUUUUCACCACAUACAGAUCUUCUUAAUUUGGUGUCUAUUUUUUUUUACUAUCAUGUUGAUUUAGAAGGAUCCUUUUCAACACUAAGUCUCCUUCUUAAAAGCUACGAAGGUGAAUUUUCUUAUUAUGUGCUCUCAUUAUCCUCAUUUGAUACAAUUGACCAUGGUAAAGUAUUGUAAGCCUUUUUUCAUCAAUGAAGUUCAACUGCUCAUAGCGAUUUUGGACCCAUUUUACUUUUUUUAACUUGACUUCCAUCAGAACUCUCAAUGAUAGAAUUUUUACUUCAACUGACAACACAACUUCUAUCUCAUAAACCAAAGAGAAUGAUGUGGUCCCAGUAAAUGCUCAAACUAAUGUUCUACAAGUAUGCAAGGCAAAAGGUAACUUCUCAUACUAGUCUUUAUAAGUAUCAGUCAUUUUUUCCAAGAUCUUUUUUAUAUUCUUGUUUAUAGCUUCUACUGUCCUAUUCAUUUUUAGACGAUACGGUGUCAAAUUAUAAUAAUGGAUCUUGAACUAAGUGCAUACUUCAUUUAUUAUUUUACUGUUCAAGUUUUUAGCAUUAUUAAAAAUAAUCAUCUCUAAAAGCCUAUAUUUGCAUAUUAUUUUUUUUUUAUGAAAUUAGAUACCACCGAUUGUGUCACACUAGCAUACGAUACAACUUUUACCUAUUUCGUAAAAUAAUCAAUCAUCACAAAGAUGAAUCUAUGUUUAUUUGAAGCUUUUAGAGUGAUAGGAUCGAUGACAUCCAUGCCUCACAUAGAUAUUGGCCAUGGAAGAGCCAAAACAUGCAAUGUUAUUGAAGAAGUAUGAAUUUUAUCAGCAACAAUCUGACACUUCUGACAUUUUUUUGCAUAAUCAAUAUAGUCACUCUCUAUUGUCAACCAAUAAUAGCUAGUCCUCAUAAUUUGUCUAGCCAUCAUAUGACCACCAUUAUAUGCCUCACAAACCCCGUCAUGUACUUUUUAAUAAUCUUUUUUGCUUCAAUUGUAUUCACAUACCUUAAGAGCACUUGAUCUCAAUUUCUUUUAUAAAAGAUAUCUCUAUCAAGGAAGAACCCAUAGCCAGCCUUUUGAUAGUCUUUUUAUCAUUUUCUGUUGCAUGUUCUAAAUAUUGUUGACUUUUAAUGUAUUGCAUAAUGUCAUGAUACCAUGGCUUCCCAUUAAUUUUUUUCGACACCUGAGCAAUGUGCUAGUGUAUCCUUCACAUCCAAUUUGAUGGGUUGAAUCUUGGUAUUUGUAUCUAUUCUGAUCAUUGUAUCCAAAGUAGCCAUUGUAUUAGUAAUCUGGUUCUCCUCUCUAGGCACAUGCUCAAAAUAAACUUCUUCAAAUUUUUGGACAAACUUAGAAACGUAUCAAUGGUACCUGAUUAAUUUGAAAUCUUUUAUUUCUUAUUCACCUCAUAACUAAUAGAUGACUAAAGUUGAAUCUCCAAACACACCCAAUACUUUGAUCUUCUUUUCAAUUACUACUUAUAGACCUCUAUCACAAGCCUCGUAUUCAACCACAAUGUAUGUGCAAUUGAAAUUCAAUCUGGCCAUGAUGGGAUAAUAGUGUCUAUUGAGAGAUAUUAAAAUUGCCCUAAUAUUAUGGCCUAAAGCAUUAGUAGCUCCAUCAAAAUAUAUUUUCCAAGACUUUUCAAUAAGUUCAUUCAUUUCAAUGGCUAUCACAUCUUCAUUAGAAAAAUCCAGUUUCAUUGGCUCAUAAUCUUCGAUCGCAUGAUCGGCUAAGAACUUAGCUGUUGCAUUCACUUUAAUAGCCUUUUGAGUUACAUAAACAAUAUCAUAUUCUGAAAGCAUAACUUGUCACCACACUAUUCUUCUUGUUAAUAAACCCUUUUCGAAGAUAUACUUAAUGUGAUUCAAAUAUGCUAUGAGCUAAGUAAUGUGAUAAAGCUUGUAUUGUCUAAGCCACGUAUGUAAGCUUUUCAUCAAAAUGAAUUUGACUUUUUGAUGCAAAGAGGAUAGAACAACACUUUUCAUAUGAAUCUAUAGCUUACCCAAUACGUAACUAUAUGAGAGAGAGAUAUCUAUAACUUAAAAUUUUACAUUAAAAAUGCAAGGGUCAAUUUGUAACGACAUUUUUAUAUCUCCUAACACCUUUUUUCGAGUCUCAUUGAAGGUUCAAACUACAAUAUAACUAGGCUUCCUAUAAAAUUCAUCAAUAGAUAGUUUUAUCAAAGUAAUCAUAGGCAUAACAUUGAUUGAUGAGCCAUUAUUGAUUAAAACUUUAGUCAUUAUAUGACUCUUGUAUUUUACAGUAAUGUGAAGAGUCCUGGUACUUCUUUGACACUCAAGAAAAAUCUUUUCAUCAUAAAAAAAGAUGUAGUUUGAAAUUGCUAGAUUGCCAAUAAGCUGUUUCACGUAUUCAACAAAGAUAUUGUGAGACACAUAUGCUAGAUUUAUUACAUUUAGUAAAGUAUUACAAUAUGACUUUGAGCUUAGCAAUAAUGACAAUAGCAAAAUUUUAGCUGGCAUUUUAUUCAACUAUUCUAUCACGCUACACUUGUUAUGUUUUAUUAGUUUUAAAAAUUUACAAGCUUUAUUCUUAGAGAUCGACUACUGACAUUCUUUAUUAAGGAUUGUCACAAGAUUACUUUGACUUUUUUCUUUUUCUUUGACCUUUGCUUUUUUUUUCUAACGUUAUCUAGUGUUUUCAGAGUGUAACAUCUAUCAUUUUGGGUCAUACCUCAUACGCUUGCUAUGUUUACAAUAUCUGAAUUGACUAUAACAUCAUAAUCAUACUUUUACAAUAUUGUUUUGUCAUUCUUAUAUGAAAAAGGGCUAAGGACUUUAAUCAUCACUAUUGGUCAGGAGAUAAGCUUUUUUGACCUCAGGGUUGGCUUAUCAUCAUAAUAAAUAGUUACUAAUUUACACAUAAACUUAUUCUUUGAAUCAAUGGUAGACAACUUAGCUUUCAUCAAAUCUUUUUUUUCUUUGUAAAACUCUAUCCGAUCCAUAUCCAUCAACUUCUUCACCUCUUGACGAAAUUGGUCACAACUCUCGAUAGAAUGCCUCAAAGUAUCUUUGUGAUAGUUGUAGCUCUCGAUUGAGUUAAUCAUUCCUUAGCAAUUUUGAAACUCUAUGGACUUCAACAUAUCAGCUUUGACUAAGGCUUCAAACAUAUUAGCCGUUAAAGUUUUGACUUCAUCUAUCCCCUUCUUGACAUAACUUGCUUGUCCAUCAAUCAAAGCAUUUAUUAAUGGUAUAGUAUGGUUUGGUAAAAGGUUCUCAUUAACAUUUCUAGUCCCUCAUUGGCUAGUAUCAAAGUUUAACACCUUUUUAUUGAUUAAUCAUUGCACUUUAUGAUUUUAAAGUAGUAUAGUUUUUCAUAGAAUAGCCCAAGUUUCCAUAAUUAUAAUCAUAAUGCGCAUUGGGAUCAUACCAUUUAAAAAAUAAAGGUUUCAAAAGUUCAACAAUAACAAAGGCUAGUAAAUAUUUUUCAAUGAUUUGAGGGUGCAAAUUUGUGUAUGUCAUAGGGAUAAGGUCGAAAAUGGCUUUUUUUUAGGCAUUUUUUAGGGCUUUCAAACCACUACUUAGAUUGGAUCUCCAUUUUGGUUUGGUAGGUGUAGCAAGACAAUUAUAUGAAUAGGUAGGUAUCCGAAAGGAUUAUUGAAAAUAAAGUAAAUAAACUGGUUAUUAUAGGGAUUGAUACAACUGAUAUGGAUAAGGGAUGGAUGUAACAUUAUUUAUUGGUGGAUAAUGGGUUUCGUACACUAGUAUGAGAUAUGAGUGAAGCAUCUGAAUUGUUGCUCCACAUAGUUAACUGUUUGGGCUUUAUUUUUUUUCUUCAUAAAAGCUUCACCUUUCUUACUUUACAUGUUUUUUCUGUAUCAAGCUUACCAUUUUUAUGGCAUUUUCAAUAAUCUCACCAGAUAUCACCAUAUUUGUAAAGUUUUCAAUUGCAUUGCCCAUCAGUCUUUUAUAGUAAGGUAUUUUUAAAGUGUUCAGAAAUAGAAUAGUUAUCUCAUUUUUAGUGAGGGGAGGUUGUACUUGUAUGAUCACAUCUUUUCAUCUCUAUGCAUACUCUUUAAAAUUUUUUGUUGUUUUCUUUUCUAUGCUCUACAGAAACAGAUAAUUUGGAGCUAGAUCUAUAACAUGCUGAUAUUAUGCAAAGAAUGCCCUCAUGAGCUCCUUUCAAGAAUGAAUAGGAGUUCUGUCUAGUUGAACAUACUAUUUAACUGCAGAACCCAUAAGGUUAUCCUAAAAUACGUGUAUCAGUAGCUUCUCAUCAUAAGUAUACGUCACUAUCUUACGAUAAUAUAGGGUGACAGAGUUAUUGGGCAUUUUGUGUCAUCAUAUUUUUUAAAUUCAAAGACCUUGAAUUUAGGUGGAAUGAUCACAUCUGGAACUAAACAAAGCUUAGUUGCGUCCAUAGAGCCAUAAAAAUCUAUUAUCUCUAUGGUCCUAAGUUUUUCUUCUAAUAAUUUCAUCUUCUGUUGAGCAUUGGUAUCUUUCACUUUUUAAAAUGUUUUCAUCCCUAGCUUUUUUCUCUCAUUAGGAUCAUCCAAGUCAGGAAUCAAGAUUAGCUUUGAUGGUUUUUCUACUAUGAUAGGAUUACCAAAAUUUUAGAACUAUCUUGGAGUAGGUGUGGAUGUCAUUCCUAGAUAAGGAUAAAAAUAUCCUCUGGGAGUAAAAAUUUGCAUUUUGGCUCCUUGAGAAGGUUGGAUUGGUUGUGGCUUAAAUCGUAAAAGGUAUAUAGGAUCCACUAUGUUUGGCACUUGCUUUUGGAAACUGAGGUUUCUUUCUACUAUUUUUUCUUUGUCAAAAUUCUUAAGCAUGUCUAUUAUCUUAUUAAAAUCCCCUUUUAAUUUCUUUUAAGCCUUCUUAAUCCUUUAAAAUCGACUAGUGUAUUCUUGUUUCAUGAUUUUUGUUUGAGCUCUGGAGUUGUAUGAAUGGUUAGUAAGUUGAAUUAAAAUUUUUGGUGGAUGAGCUAUUCUUGAACCUUUAUUACCACAAAAAAAAAAAAUUUAAAUCAAAAUGCUAUGUGUUAGAAAUUUUAUUUUUUAACCUUCUUUUUGUGAUUUUUUAAAAAAAUAUAUGGUUAAAAAUAAUGCACAUGAUGCAUAAAUACAAGUGAGAGAUAUUUACUCUUUGACAAAUUUCAACACUAGAAAAUUUCAUUGAUUUCAACUUUUGUUAUAUAAGAUUUGUCAUCCUAGAAUUAUAUUCAUAGAAACAUUUGACUUGCUCAUAACGAUCUUUGGUCUCAUCUAAAAAGUUUACUUGAUGCUGGCUAUAUUCUUUUAUAAGAUUGACUUAUCUUCUUAAUGCCUUUACCUUUUUAACCAUCUUUCAUACCUUCUUUACUGCUUUGCAAACUUGACUGGUUAGGUGCUUUAUGUACUAUUGCCUUCUUAAGUUUUUUGCUUUUUAUUUCAUACAAGCAUCACUUUUCGAAUUACAUGUAAAGAUCCAAUCCUUUUUCCUUCUCUACCACUCAUCUAUUAUUAUUGAAAUAUGGUUCUUGUAAUUUUACAGUUACAGCUCUAACCUGUGGAUCACCUAGUGAAAUGAUUCUUUUUCGUUUAGUACUUUAAGGUGCUCUAUUCUCUUUUUUGUGAGCAUAGCCUUCAACUUUUCCUUUUCUUUCUAGCAUUCAACCAAUUUUGCCAAAGCUGUAAGGUAUAAUCCCUCAUAAUUUUGGCAUUAUUGAGAAAUUUUGAUGACCUCUUUUUCUAUUUUUUGAGCUUUGCUUUUUCAUUAGUUCAUUUCCUCUCAGAGCUCGUUCAUUUCAUGUUGCCAACUAAGGUUAGACUUAGUAACUUUUUUAGUCAUGAAUUGGACUCAUAACCUUUUGUUUUCUUGGUGUAGAUCUUUCAAAUCAAUGUUGGCCACUUGUCGUUCUUUUAUGACCUUCUUCAAUCUGCUUUUUUGUACUUUUACUUCUUAUUUUAACUAUCCUAUCUUUUCACUAAGUUUCAAAUUUUCUCUUUUUAUUUCUUUUUUUUUAGCUUCCAAUUUCUUCUUAACAAGCUCAACUUUUAAUAAUUGCACUUUUGUCAAAAUGUUAGCUAAUUGAUAUGAGUCAUCAUUAGGAAUGAACACCAUGUAUUUGAGUCACUUCACUUUUCAAAUCUGGUAAUUAUGAGUGAUUUUGUCAAGAAAAGGCCUUAAUCUCAUCUUUUGUGUUUUUUUCUAUGCUUGGAUUAACUGCUCCAAGAUUUUUAAUGGAUUAGAUUCUUCGUAAGUGAAUUCUACUUGAACUAGGCCAUGAGUGGCAUGAACAAACUACUUUGCAUCGAAUUGUCACAGUACCAUUAAUAGAGCGUAACUUACCAUACUCUUUAGUAUUAACAGCGGUAUCUAUGGUUCAUCAUGAGCACGCAAGGCAUCCAUGGCGCCAUCCAUUUUAUUUCAUCCUUGGUGAGUCUUCGCAAAAAUAAAACCCAUUUUUCUUUAGUCUUCAAUGUUGGCCAUUAGCUUUUGCAAAACUCUUCGAUUAGUGCUUAUUUAAAAAAUACAGCUCUGAGAAUGCACUCUUUCCACACUUGAAAUGAGUUGUGACCUACAUAUAAAAUAGCAGUGCACACCCUAUAAAUGUCUUUUUUCAUUUCAUUGAUAGAAAUUCAAUAACCUGAUUGGUUCGACUAAGACUGCUAGUGCAAGAUUAAUUGCUUAAGUUUUAAUUUACUCAAAAAAGUCCACCACAAUUAUUUCGAUGUAACACGAAAUCUUCAAGAAGAUCACCAUGACGUACACUGCCAAAGCAAACAUAACCAUGCCUUGAUCAUCAUUUAAAUGCCCUUGAAUAAAAUUUUGGAUAAAGUCCCAAUAGAUAUUGAGAUGUUCACCUUUAGGCUUUACGAAUGAAUCUAUGGUUUCUAUUUUAACCUCUAUAAGCUUUGCCAACCUUUUAUGAUAACUUGAUUUCAACUUUCGAGUAAACACUUUAUUUGGACAUUGUAGUUCUAUCAUGAGCAAAACUAAGUACUCCUUAAUAGUUGGCAUCAAAUAUUCCUAAUUAAAAGUGAAACAUCUAUAGGAUGGGUCCCAAAACUGUAUGGUUGCCUUGACUAACUGCUCCUCAAUCACUAUUGGAAUGAGAGAUACAAUCUGCCUAUACUUUUUGUAAAAGUUUUCUUUUCUUUUUUCACUUAAAUGACCCCAGAUGAUAGCUAAAUUUUUUAAAUUAUUUUGUGUAAGAUCCGAUUGGCUUAUCUUUAUGUUCUAUUAUUUUUAACAAAUCAGAAGGUAGUGUGUAAUUAUCAAAAUCUUUUUCAUUAUCAAGUUCGUCAACAUGAAUUAGGUUUUCAAAAUUGAAUAUGAGAUUAUUGUCAUAAUUAUCUUCGUGUUCAUUAUUUAGGAACCUAUAAAUGGGUGAGAUGAAAAGAAUAUUGGCACCCAAAAAUGGAAUGAUAAGAAAAUGAAAAAAGAAGUGGAUCGAAUGAAUGAAAGUGAAAACAAAUAAAAGAAAUGCAAACGUAUUUUUUAAAACUUUUAUUAAAACGAAACAUAAACACUCCAUAAAAGAUCUUUUAAUGCUUAUAAAGAGCAAUUAGAGAUUUAUAGUUUCAUAGUACAUUACUUUUUAGAAAUUUUAAAAACAACAAGUAACUCUAUGACAUUCCAAUUAUUUAGCUCGAAGUUCGAAUGGCAAGGAUGCAUAAACAAUUUUUCAUCUUAGCUCUUUUUUCCUUCUUCAUCCACCACCUGAAUGGUCAGCUCAGAAAAAUCUUCCACCAAUUUUGCAUUUAGGGCUUCAAACGAAUCUGGAUAAAUAUAUCCUCCCAAACAAAAACAAUCAUAAAGGGAUGGAAUAACCAUUAAUAUCUCUUGAGAUUAGCCAUUCUCUUUUCUUUCUUCUCAUUCACCAUUUUCAUUAUGUCUCCUCUUGUUGGUUUAUAACAUAAGCCAAAUCUGUCAUUCUUAUCAUAUAUUACCGACAACUUUAUGAUUCCUUGUAGAUUUUUCUCUAGUUUAGCUUCAAGUUGCCAUUCCAUCUUGGUAAGCUACUUGAUAACCAUUUUAAUUAUCAUAGACAGAUGCUGUGAAUAUAGUUUAGAUUCUUCUGCCACAUUUGUUAUGUUGGCAAUCUCAAAAGAUCUAUAAAAGCACUUUAGGGCUUUAUCUACCAUUUUUACAUAAGAAGUAUUUUAUCGAUUGGGUUAGAAGUAAAUUUUCUUCUUUUGUCACACAUGUAGGCUUUUCAUCAACAAUGAAUUUGACUUUCAAGUGUAAUGAGGAUGGAACAACACUUGCCAUAUAAAUGUAUGGCUUACCCAAUAAGCAACUAUAUAAGGGAGAGAUAUCUAUAACUUGAAAUUUUACAUUAAAAGUAUAAAGGUCAAACUGUAAUAGCAUUUUUAUAUUUCCUAACACCUCGUUUUGGGUCCCAUCAGAGGCCUGAACUAUCAUAUGAUUAGACUUCAUGUAAGAUCCAUCAAUAGGUAGUUUUACUAAAGUAGUCAUAGGCAUAACAUUGAUUGAUGGGCCAUUGUCGAUCAAAACCUUAGCCAUUAUAUGACUUUUAUAAUUUAUAGUAAUGUAAAAAGCCUUGGUAACCCUCAAGAGGAAUCUCUUCAUCAUUAAAAGAAAUGUAAUUUGAGAUUGCUAGAUUGCCAACAAGCUAUUCCACAUAUUCAAUAAAGAUAUCGUAAGACAUAUAUGCUUGAUUUAGUACCUUUAGUAAAGUAUUAUAAUGUGACUCUGAGCUUAGCAAUAAUGACAAUAACGAAAUUCUAGCUGGCAUCUUGUUUAACUAUUCUAUCAUGUUAUAGUCGUUAUGUUUUAUUAGUUUUCAAAAAUUCACAAGCUUCAUUCUCAAAUAUUGGCUUCUGACAUUCUUUAUUAGGGAUUACCAUAGGAUUACUAUGACUUUCUUUUCUUCUUCAACCUUUGCUUUUUUUUUUUUCUAACUUUUUCUAGUGUUUUUAAAGUGUAACAUCUCCCACUUUGACUCAUACCGCCCAUUAUGUUUAUAGUAUCUACAUUGACUAUAACAUCAUAAUCAUACUUUUAUGGUACUGUUUUAUCAUUCUUGUAUGAAAAAGGGCUAGAGACUUUAAUUGUCACUAUUGGUUAAGAGAACUAUUAAGGAACUAGUUGAUUAUCCAUGUAAUAUAUUUAUUUAAAUGUGUUUAGAUAUAUAAAUUAAUAUUAUUUAAUCAUUUAGAUGUUCAAUAUAUAUAUAUACUACAAAUAAUAUAAUUAAAAUAUCAAAAUAUAAUAAAAUUAAAUUUUUAAUUAAAAAUUUAAAAUAUAUAACAAUAAUAAUAUUUGAGGAAAAAUAAAAUAUCCAAAAAAUUUAUAUAUAAAUAGUAUAUGUGUGCCAUUUCCAUUUUGUGCAAUUAUUUUUAUACACCUGUAAGUUUAUAUAAUUUUAAAAUAAGUUUUAUUCAUUGAAAAAAAUAAUGAUUUUAAAUAUUUAAAUAAUAUAUAUGAUAGCUUACUCACAUGUAAACCUAUUUAAGAGCUGGGUUACCUAUUCGAACUUGAAAGCACACUCAAAAUUUUAAAGGGCUUAAAUAUGAAUAUUAGGUCCGUUAAAUGGGCAUGGACAAGUAAAUAAAGCCUAACAAAAAAUCAAAUCGGGCUUUGGUUUCACUAUUUUAGGUUGGGGCUCAACUCGACCAGUCUCGACAAUUAAAUAAAUCUAAUUACUUUUCUCAUAAUGGGACAAAGCAUUUAUUUUUUUUAUUAUGGACAAAACUCAUUUAUUUUAUUGUUUACAAUAAAAAAAGCUAUUUACUUUCUUUUUUAUAAUAGACAAGACCCAUAUUAUAAUUUAUAAUAAAAAAAAACCUAACCACCAACAUCUUUGCUUUCUUUUUCCCCUUUCUAAAUUUUACCCUUAUUUUUGUUCUAGGAUUAGCCGCUCAUUUCACUAAAAAUUUCUCCUUCAUUUCAUUUUAAAAUUAGCUUGUCUCCUUUAAAUCUCAAUAAUUUCAAACUCCUUUAAGAUUGUCUCCUCCAAAUUGGCUUGCCUUUUUUAGAUUGGCGUUAUCCCCUCUGUCACUAUAAGAAAAUUGCUCUAUGCUAAUGCUAAAAAAACAGUCAGUAAAACUUAAAAAUCCAUUGGUAUAGCACAAUAAACCUUAUAUUGACAGUCAAAAUAUCUAUUCUGAUAAAUUUAUAACCGUCAGUAUAUUCCUUAACAAUAUAGACUUAUAGUUUUUAAGCUGUUGGAAUAUAUAAUAGAGAUAUACUGACAGUUUUAGUCCGUCACAAUAUGUAUAGCUAUUGAUAUAGCAAAUAUUGUGUGCUCCACAUUAUAUCUUUUACCGACAGUUAUUCUCAUCAGUAUAGAUUUGUAUGUUUUAAUUUUUUAACUUAUACCAACAUGUCUCUAUCAGUAUAUUUUUUACCAAUGAUCAAUGCCCGUCAAUAUAGCCUAUGUGUUUUAAUUUUUACCAACGAUCCAUGAUGACUAUCAGUAUAGCUUAAAAUAUUUUAAUAGUAAAACGUGUCAGUAUAAAUUUUAAGAUGUCGCUAAAAACUUUUUUUUGAAUUAUAUUUUCAAUUAUUAAUAUUAAUUUAUCUACAAUCAUAAUAUGAUAUGGAUUCAUAUAAAGUAAAAAUACAUAAAAAAGUAAAAAUAUUUAAUAACAUUUGAAAUAAAACAACAACCAAAUUGUUUUAUAAUCCACAAAUUCAAAAUAAGUCAAGAACUAAUGUCAUUGUAGCAAAUCUAGAGAAAGAAAGAACAUUUAUAUCUAUGAAUGGUAUAGCCCUAGUUGAUAGUGUGUCUAAUGAGUGAUUCAGCAUUACUAGAAUUCCAAGCUCCCAUGGCAGAACCGUCUGGACCUAUAGUCCUUCCAUUUAGAGCAUUUAAGCUAAAAACAACCGUAGCCCUAUGUCGAAAAUAAAAGUAAUUGGAUCCAGGUAAAAGGAAACUUCAUCUAACUGUUUAAAUGUUAAGAAAUAGAUAAAUUACAUUCAGAAAGAAGAUAAUAAAGUUUACUUACUCAGAUUUUUUGAAUAAAAUGUUGAGUUCAUCCCAUCUAGACAUAGGUAAGCAACCUUAGGAGAAACCAAACAUCUCUGCCAUCCUUUACAAAUUUUGACCAAAUAGAGAAAAUUUUGUCAACCAAUUAUGAGAAAACAUUAAAAUGAAAAUGCAUUACCAAUAUUACCAAGGAAAUGGAGAUUAUGUUUUGUUUAAAGUGCACCCUAAACAUUCAAUCAUCCUAAGCUAUUACUUUUUCACUAAACAUUCAAUCAUCAAAGCCAAUGCCAGUAGAAGGAUAAAAAAAUAGGCAUGCUCAAUGACACAAAAUUGAAAUGCAAAAAAUGCAAAAUACCUUUGAUAAAUGAUGAAAGUCUUGAAGCUUCAACUUUGAUUCAGCUCUAAAACAAAAUGGGUGCCGAUGAGUUUAAGUUUGUUGAGUCAGUGAGAGGUAAAGAAAGUUGGUGGAAGGUAGAGAUUAAGCUAUAAGUACUGACGAGUGGAAAGAGUUGGUGGGAGAUGAAAAUUAAGUAUGUAGAGUCAGUGAGAAGGGGAGGUAAAAAAAAUUUUGAAUGGGGUUAUUCAAGAUACUUUUGGCCAAAAACGCCUUCAAUAAUCUCCAAAAUUUUUUAUGACCGCCAAAAACGCCUUCUCCCAAAAUUUUUUAAAUGGAUUAUUAAAGGUGCUUUUUACCAAAAACGUCCUCAAUAAUCUCUUAUAAAAAUUUGUUGAAGAGAUUACUGAAAGCGUUUUUUACCUAAAAUGCCUUCAAUAUUUCUCUCGUAAAAAGUUAUGAGAGCUUGAGAGUGUUUUUGACCAAAAACGUUUUCAAUAAUCCCAUCAUAACUUUUUACAAGGGGAUUAUUAAAGGUAUUUUAUGUCAAGAAUACAUUUAAUAUUCCCCUCAAUAAAUUUUUAUGAGGGAUUAUUAAAGGUAUUUUUGGUCAAAAACACCUUCAAUAAUCCCUUCAUAACUUUUUAUGAGGGAAAUAUUAAAUGCAUUUUAGGCAAAAAAUACCUUCAAUAAUCCUUUCAAUAUAUUUUUAUAAAAGAUUAUUUAAGAUGUUUUUAGAUAAAAAAAAUGCCUUCAAUAAUCCAUUCAAAAAAUUUUGAAAAGGGAUUAUUGAAGGUGUUUUCAGCUAAAAACGCCUUCAAAAACACCUUCAAUAAUCUAUACAAAAAAUUUUAAAGGGAUUAUUGAAGGUAUUUUUGGCCAAAAAUAUCUUUAACAAUCCUCUCAUAACUUUUUAUGAGGGGAUUAUUAAAGGUGUUUUAGCCGAAAAUACCUUUAAUAAUUUUCUCAAUAAAUUUUUAUAAGAGAUUAUUAAAUGUAUUUUUGGUUAAAAACGUCUUCAAUAAUCCACUCAAUAAAUUUUUAUAAAGGAUUAUUGAAUGUAUUUUUUGUCAAAAACAUCUUCAAUAAUCCCAUUCAAUUUUUGGAUAGCCAAUAGUUUUUUUUUUUUUAUUUUGAGCCUAUACUAAUAGUUACAUUAAUAACUGUCAGUAUAUAAUAUAUUUAUAUUUACGGAUAGUCAUAUACCAUCAGAAAAAGUUUAUUUAUACUGACGGUUAAACAAAGUGUUGGUAUAAGUAUGGUAUAUUCUGAUGGUAUUAAAACUUUAUCAGUAAAAUUCUUAUUUAUUGAUAGAAUUUGACCGUCAGUAAAUAAUCCAUACAAAAAAAUUUUUGUAUGGAUUAUUGAAUGCAUUUUUGGUCGAAAAUGUCUUUAAUAAUCCCAUUCAAAAUUUUGGUAACUAAUAGUUUUUUUGUUUUGAGCCUAUACUGAUGGUUACAUUAAUAACCAUCAGUAUAUAACAUAUUUAUAUUGAUGAAGUCAUAUACCAUUAAAAAAAUUUAUUUAUACCAACGAUUAAAUAAAGUAUUGGUAUAAGUAUAGUAUAUUCUGACAGUAUUAAAAAUCUGUCAGUAAAAAUCUCUUUUAUUGAUAAAAUUUAACUAUCAAUAUAACCAAGCAUCUGUAUAUGAAAAAGUUCUCUAACUCGCAAGUUAAUCACUUUAUGGUAAUUUUUUUUCACUCUUGUCUUUAUAAUUUUUAGUUUAUUUUCUUUAUUUUCCAUAUUUUUAGAUAUCAAAUUAAGUUUUUAAACUAAAACUAUUUUUUUAUUUUGAAUAAUCAGGGGUAUUGGUUCAUAAAAGCUAGUAUUUAUUAUGUACUUCUUGAUAGCUUGUGGGACUAAUUAAACUAUAUGACAAUGUCUUUGGCAAACCUUAGCUCUCUUAUUUUAUGUAAGAAUCGAUUUGGGCAAAAAAUAAGAUCCGAAGAGUCAGGCCAGGUCGAGCCUAGACUUGUUUAUAAUAUUUUCAUAUCCUACUUUAGCCUAGCCCGGAUUCGGUUUGACCCAACCCAUGAACAUGUCUACUCACAUGUAUAUUUUUUGAAAGAGUUUUAGUAAUAUCUUGAUUUUCAACAAUUAUAAGAUUUGCCAAAUUAAUUUUUAUACUUGUUUUAAACUUUAUAUUUGAUGCAAAAUUAUGUUACUGUAAAAUUAGAAACAAAAUAGCUUUAAAUUUUAAGUAAUAGUAUUAAAUUUUAAACAAUUAUUUUAAAAAUUUUAUUGAAAAAAGGUUUCAAUUAAAAUGAGUCAAUUCUCAUUCACAGGAUUUUAUAAUAAAUUUAAAAGGUAAAAAGCUUUGCUUUUUAUUUUUACAAUUUAAGUUUUGCUUCCAAAAAAAACCAAUAAUAUUAUAAAAAUUAAAUUAUAAAAACUUAAUUUUAAAUAAAUAAACACAAUUUUACUUUUAUAUAAAAUAAUUAUCUUAAAAUUAAUACUGUAUUUUAGUCAUUUGCUUUUAUUUAUAAAUUUAAAAAAAAGUGCAUAACAAAAUCAACAAUUAAAAGUAAGCCUGUGUAAUCUUUUCUAAAUAAAUAAAAAAAAAUAAAACCAACAAACAAUAUCUAAACAAUUAAAUCAAUAUUUUUUUACCUUAAAUUGUCAAAAUAUUUGAGAAACAUCACUACAUGGGUUUUGAUUUUUAGUGGCAUUUUUUUACGUUUAGUGGCGUUUAAAAACACCACUAAAAGAUUUACGCAAUUUGCAAAAAACAUCAGUCAAAGUGUUGGCUAUACAUGCCUGGUGAAAAAUAGCGGUGUUUUCUAAAAAAUACCGCUACAUUAGCAGUGUUUGUAUCUAAAAAAUAUCGCUAUAUUAGUAGUAUUUUGUAUAUAGAAAAUACCGUUAUAUUAGCAACGUUUAUACCUUUGACAUACCGUUAAUUUAGUAGUAUUUUAUAAGAAAAAUACCGUUACUUUGGUGGCAUUUGUAUCACAAAAAUGUUGCUAAUUUAGCUCGUUUACUAGCAAGACCGCUGCUACUUUUAGUAGCAUUUUAUGGUACAAAUGCCACUAAAUUAUUCAUUUAGCUACAUUUUCAAACACAAAUACCGCAAAAUUGAGAAAUGUAUUUUUUUUAAAUAAAAAAUUUAUGUUAAUAUUUAUUAUUUUCAUAAAUGAGCUUAAAUUCAUAUACUAAAAUUAAUAUAAACUUAAUUCACGUUCAAAUAUGUAUCUAAUUAAUACAAAAUUUAAUAAUUAGUAUAAUAACAUUCAAAUUUUUUAAUACAUUAACAAAAUAAAAAUUAAAAUGUAUAAAAUUGAUGACUGGAUAUAUUUUGAAGGCUGUCAAUUGAUGACGAAAUUUUUCCACCUUGGUCAAUAGCGUGCUUAAGAACCUACUGAAUAAUAGCAUAUAAUUUUUAACACUUCAUUGUAAGCUUUUUUUAUAUUAAAAAAUAUAAAUAUUUACUAAAUAUAAUACAUGAGUUGAAAGACCACCGAGAUCAGUUCCUGAAAAUUGUUGUUGCACAAAAUUAAUAAAAUGAUCGAAUCGAUCAUGCAACUGCUGAAAUUUUGUACGUUCUUGCUCCAUUCUAGCAAGUUCUUCCUCAAUUUUGGCACGCUUUUGUUCUCUUUCUGCUUUCAUUUGCUGGAAAACAUUGUUGCAUAGUUUGCAACUCUCUCAAUAUCGAAAUGUCUAGUGAAGAUUGACUUGCUGAGAAUGUAAAUUACUAAAAGCUAUGUCCAUAGUAGGUAGAUGGUGUUGGACCCAAUCCAAAGCCUCAGACCUGUCCAUGCCUUUUUUUUCUAGCAACUUCUAUGAGUAUCCGAUUUUUCAAUUCUUACAUAUUGAGAGAACCAUCAGAUAUUACUUCAAUCUCAACAGUCAUUUUUUCUUUCAUUUUUUCCUAUAAAUUAGUCAUAUACAACUAUCAAGUUUAAUGAUUAAUUGAUAAUAUGUUAAAAAGAGUAAAUAUUUACUUUCUGUUAAAAUAAAUAUUACAAAUUAUCACAAUUUCUUGUGUUUCGACAUUCAUGUAAGAUUUUUUUUUUGUGUUAAGUGAAAAAGUUUCACACGUCCAAUUUGACCACCCAUCUCAAUCUCAUAUACAAAAACAUAUGUUAUUUGAUAGGAUACAUAUCAACUGUAACUUAUUCAUGCAUAUCAUAUCUGUCAAUCAAGUUCACAAAUUUUAAAUAAUUUUAAUAUCAUGUAUUUAUAUUUUGGCCCCUUUACAAUAUAAUAAUCUUAACCAGAUGCAAACAAUAAAAGCACUUUGGCCUUUAACACAUAUCGAUCAUGGCAAUCAAAUUCAAUUAUUUAGACAAGUUUAAUAUUAUGGAUUGAUGCCAUUCAAACUAUUGAAAGCCAUCCACAAGUUUAAUUUGUAUUUUUACCUUUUAAAGGUAAAAAUAGUCCCAAAUAAACAUAAACAAUAACUUUUUCACCAUAUCAAUCGUAGAAAACAAGUUCAAUCAAUCAGGCAAGUUUAAUAUCAAAUAUUGAAGCUAUCCAAACUAUUUAAAUUGAACAAUAACAAAAAAUUUGUAAUUUUACUUAAAUAGACGUAAACAAUAACUUUUUCAUACAUAUCGUCCGUCUCAACUAAGUUUAAAACUUUUAAUAAGUUUAAUAUCAUGUAUUGAAACUAUCAAAACUAUUAAAAUAGUACAAUAACUGUUAAUUUGCAUAUUUACCUUUUACCGACAUAAAAAGUUCAUUAAUUGAAAUACGUUUAAAAUCAUAAACUUACUAUUUCUUUUUGCUUUCUUGCAAAACUUUUUGAUCCACUUGUGUGGCUAUUUUUUUGUUGCUUUCUGCUACUAAUCCCAAUUUGUUCUCUUUCCUAUCAUAAAAAAUAAUUUGGUAUAUCAUAGAAAUACAAAUAUUGCCAACUUAAAGCAUAAAACACUUUCAUUAUUUCAUUAUACUAUAUAAAGUUAUAAAUUAGUACCUUUCCUUUUCUUGAGAACUAAAAUCUAACUAAUUGUUCAUAUUGCCAGCUAAUCACAUUAUGGGGUAGAUUUUUCAUCGUCGCCUCUACAGUUGUAUUUUUAUCAACAUACUUAUUCUUCAAAUUAUGCUUAUAAUCUCUCCAUUUCUUUCCCAAUAACUUAAACACAAAUGAAAUUGAUAUUUUAAGUACAAAUCUUGACUGUAAUAAUAUAAAAAAAAUAAUCAAUAAACUAAAUUUAAAAUGAUUAAUUUUUUAUAUGUAAUUAAUUAUACUAAUACCUCAAUAAAGUUUAAAGCAUUAGCCUUUACUUCUGCUGGAACUUUACGUCAUGUUUCAUAAUGAAUAGGCAACUUCAUUCAAUUACGGGCAAACAUACCUAGAAAUCUAGCCAACAAUUGAGCCUCUUCACCAAUUGGUUGUCUAUUAGAGUUUGCAAACACUACAUUACGCUCAUUCGAAGGUAGUGCAAAUAAUUUCUUCAAAGUUGUUCAGCCUCUGGUCAUCCAUUGACCAUUGUUAUCAACUGUAAAAAUUAAAAAAUAAAUUUAUAAAAUGGCAAUACUUUUAUCAUUAUAAUCAAUUUGUAAAUAUGGGGUAUAUGAUACCUGCAUUCAAAUUUAAAGCAUAAUCAAUUAACGGGAUACUAUCUAAACUGAGACCUCUCGUAUUGCCAAAUCUAAUAUCAGUUGAAGGGUUAGAAGUGACUAAGUUAGAUCCGACAGUAUGUUCAAUCCCCUCCAAAGGAUUUAGUCCAUUGCCAAUAUCAACAGGUGUCACAGAUGAUUCUGAACUAAUAUUUCUUAUAUGUAUUCCUUUCAAUUUACUCAUUCACAUUGUAGCUUAUCUACAUCAUAAAAGUGAAUAUAUAAAAGAUAUUAGUUUAGAACAAAUAUAAAGACAUUGAGAAGUUAAGAAAUCAUAACCUACGAUACAAAAAGAACAUAUCGAUUUAAUUAAAUUAAAAGAUAAUGUAUGAUUUAUAAUACAAUAAAUAUACAAUAGCGAAUGCGACAUUAAUUACAUACAAUCAUUUAUUAUAUUAUGUCUUAAAUACUCGAAUUACAAAAUAUAGAUGAUCUAUCAUGGUUCAUAAAUGUCUUUCUUAAUAUCUUCACGAAACUACUGAGCAUAAGUACUAGAGAUAUUUUUGUCCAAGUUUUGUUCAGCAAAAGGAUAACAUUCAGUUUCAUUUUUAACAUCAUGUCUUGUAUCUAACCUCAUAUCAAAUAAGUCUCUAGGUGUGUUUCGAAGAACAACAAACUAACCCAAUUCUAUGGGAUCUUCAAAAUAAAAAACUUGUUUGAGUUGAGAUGAAAAAACAUAAGGUUUAUUAAUGAGUUGUUGUCCAGUGUGAAUUAAUCGAGAAAAAUUCUCAAGUGUAAAUCCAUAAUGAUCUUUCUUAAUAUCCUUCGUACUAUUCACAUCAGCCCAAUUAUACCAAAAUAAUAAUUUUUCACUUGCCAUAAUAAUCCAACUCAAUGAUGUCAAUAAUCAUGCCAUAAUAGUUAACAUUUUCUUUGAAAGGGUUUGUGUCCUUAGCACUAGCAUAGCUAGUAGUUGAUAAAGUAACAACUUUUGAAUUUUUUGUACUGCUAAAUCUCUCAUGAGAUUUUGUGUUAAAUUUAAAUUCAUUGAUGAUAAAACUUUUUUAUCGUUUCACAAUCCUAUUCAGACCUUGUGAAAGACACUUCACCUCUUCACUAACAAGCCUUUCACUCUAAACCUAUAAAAGUGAAAUAAAUAUAUAUGUUAUUAAUGUUAAUUAUACCAUAAGAUUUCUUAUAAAAGGAAGUAUGGCAUUACUUACAGUUGCUCCUAACCAUUCAUGAAAGUUUUUGGCAAACAAUUUAUCAAGCUCUCAAGAGUUUGAUUGUCAAUAAUGUGUAGGAGCUCUCAAAUUAUUUUUAUACUCACUAUAAAGCAACAUAAUAAAGUAUUAACAAUAAAAAAUACAAUAAAUUAUGGUUAAUGUAAUGACUAAUUUCUUUGCUAAAAAACUUAUGUACGAAAUGAUUCAACAGAGUCAUGAUGAAAAAGACCAUAUCGAUGUGCUUGUGCCUAAGAUUUAUCAUCUAACUCUACCAUUUCAGCUUUGCCUAUUGGUUAUCCAAAACUUUGAAAAAGAUAUCUGUAGGUAGAGUCAUGUUGCUACAUACCAACAUUUCUUAAUGGUCUAUUAAAUCUCGUUUCAACAUCUUUCAAAUAACGAGAACAAAAUGUCAUAAACUCUUUUGCUAAAUAUCUUUCAGCAAUAGAACCUUCUGGAUAGCAUUCGUUAUGAUAAUAAGACUUUAACCUCCCUAAAAACCUAUCACAUAAAACAUUAGUCAUAUAUCUUUUUAAUUAGAGUGGCAUGAUCAUCAAUAAGACCUUAAUCAAUCUAUUAAAUAAUAACAUCUUUCGAUAUACAUCCAUUGAUAAUAAAUUGACCCACCUACUUUUGUUUCAUAUGGAAGAUGGAUAAUCAAAUACAUCAUAAUAGUGAAGAAGUUUGAAGGAAAAAUCUUUUCUAAAUGGCAUAAAGUAAUUACAGCUCGAUCUUAAAGUUUAACAAGCUCAUCCAUAUUCAUACAUUUCUCACAUAGAGAUUUAAAUAUGUUACUUAAUUCGCUUACCACAUAAGUGACUUGUUUUGACAUUGAUGAACAUAAAGCAAUUGAAAGUAAGUCUUGCAUCAAAAUGUGAUAAUCAUGUGACUUCAAUGAAAAAAUUUUUCGCUCCUUCAGAUUCACACAUCUCGAUAUAUUUAACGUAUAGCCAUUCAAAACUUUGACAUUUUUCAAAACCUUGCAAAACAUAUCUUUUUCAGAUUUAGAAAUCCUAAAACAAGUAGCAGGAAUCGAUAUUUGUCGUUAGAAAACAAUUUUGGAUGAAGGUCAGGGUGAAUCUUCAUAUUAACUAGGUCAAGCUGACUCUUUAAGUCAUCUUUUGAUCUUUUAUUCAUAUUAAGAAUUAUCGCAAUAAAAUUUUUACAAACAUUCUUUUUUUUGUGCAUCAAAUUAAGGUUAUGAUGUAAUAAAUUAUAUUCUCAAUAAGGUAACUCAAAAAAGAUACUUCUUUUUUUUAAUAACUCAAACUCAUUGGGGUUAUUUUCUUCAUCAUCCUCUUCAUCACUUUGAACAUCAAAAUCACCAACUUCAGUAAUAGUAUCACCAACUUACAUAAUAUGAGGUCGUACACCUUCAAAGAUACUCUUCACUCUUUUUCUUGAUAGAGUUAUUUUUUUAUAAGUGAAAUUGAUAUCUUUUAACUUUGACAAGAUAUUAAACCCACUAAUGGGUAAAAGAGAUUUUCUCAACUCUUCAGUUCUAUCAAAGAGAUGUUUAUGAAAUCUAAAUCGAUGAUUAUCAUCUAACCAUCGAUGAUAUCCCAUAUAACAAAACUUCUUACCAUUAGGUAACCACUUCAAACAUGUCUAUGUAGCACAACAUAGACAACCAUAAUGACCUUUUGUACUUCAACUAGAUAAAUUGGCAUAAGAAAAAAAAUCAUUGAUAGUCCAUAAUAAAGUAGUACAUAUAUUGAAGUUAUCUUUUUUUAUGCAUCAUAGGUCUCAACUCCUUCCCAUAAUUACUUUAAGUCUUUAAUAAGAGGUUGUCAAUAGAUGUCUAUAUCAUUAUUCAAACUUUUUUUCUUGAAAAUUAUCAUAGACAAUAUAAAUGACUAUUGCUUCAUAGUAAUCCAUGGUGGUAAAUUGUAAGGAAUCAAUAUAACUGGUUAAGUACUAUAAGAAGUACUCAUCAUUUUAAACUGAUUAAAUCCAUCGGAUAGUAGUCUAAGCAUAACAUUUUAAGGAUCAUAUGCAAAGUCUGAAAACCUAGAUUGAAAUUUCAUGCCAAAGAAUAUGUAGGAUGCCUAAAUGAUCCAUCAUCUAUCCAUUUUUUAUGAUGCCACCUCAUUGAAUCUAUAAUUUUGAAAGACAUGAAGAGUCAUUGAAGUCUUGGUAUUAAUGAAAAAUAGUGUAAAACCUUAACAAACUUCUUUUUGAUACUAACCUCAUCACCAUCCUCAUUCAACCUUUCAUUGAGGUUUUUAUUCACCCAAUUAGAAAUAUCACACACAUGAAAAAAUUCUUGACUUUUUCUAUCACCCUAAUACAACAUGCAAUCAUUGGGACAACUAUGAAUUUUCUCACAUCCGAGACCUAAAUCCUUGAUCAUCUUCUUUGAUUCAUUAUAAGAUUCAGGAAUUUUUGUAAAAGAAAAUAUUUCUUUCAUAAACUCUAAUAAUAAAGUCAGAGAGUUUUCCGUCCAUCCACAUAAGCAUUUCAAGUGAAAAAAAUAAACAUAAAAAGACAACCUUGAAUGCUUUGAGCCCUCAUAAAGUUCUUUAUUCAUAUCCUCAAGCAACUUAUAAAACUUUGAUGUUUCUCUUAUAGGUUAUUGGUCAUAUAUACCUAUCCCAGGUUUAUCAAAUUCAUUCAUUUCAAUAUUAGACUGAUUAAAUCCAUCAUUUUAGGGAAAAUGAUUAUGAAAAUGUUAGUUAUGAAUGUUAAAAACAUCUCACAACAUGCUUUCAAUGUCAUCUGCUAUAAAAAGAUCAUGUUGGUGUUGAAAAGCCCUUGAAGUUGAAGGAACUUUAAUGAAAAACUUUGAUGGUACAGACUCUCCAUAAAAAUACCAAUUAAUAUAUUUCGAGAAAAUUUUAAUACAAAUUAAAUAUUCAAAAAUAACUUGACGCUUUUGUCAAUCUAUAUUAGCACACUUCACACAUGGGCAUAAUAUCAUAUUAUUUUCACUUGUAUUCUCAAAUGCAAAAUUAAGAAAAUUUUUCACUUCAUCUCUGUACUCUUAACUUAAUUUUAACUUUUGCAUCUAACUCUUAUCCAUUUAGUACUUACUACAGUAUCAAACUAAAUGUAUAUAAAUAAUUUAUAUGAAAACGAACAUGCCAAAUACUUAAGUUUACUAUGUUUUAAACAAAAGAUAAUAACAAGAUCAGUACUUACAAAAAAUGAAAACUCCUUGUUGUAAAAUAUUUUAUCAGGUAUCUAAUAUUAUGAAUGUUAAAAUCUGCUGCUAACAUAGACAAUACCCAAGAGUUUUUAUAAUUGAGGUUGAAAUAAGGUAAAACAGGUACAGAAGAAACCCAAAAAAAGAAAAAAGAAAAUGAAAGAGAAAAGGAAGUUAAUAAUGGGUUAUAAAUGGGUAUUUCAAGAAGGUGGGCUUUAAAGAAAAUUGUUUAAACUAAAAAAAAAAUCACCAAUUGCAAAAGCUGAAGGAAUAGUCGAAUUACGUAAAAAUAUUAGUAAAUAACUAAUGAAUAGUUGAAAUCGGGUUCUAAAAUAUAACGUUCGAAUAGUAAAAGCUGAAGGAAAAGGAAAGUAAAUUGUAAUUGGUCUGAAAAAAGAAAUAGUAAAAUAAUAAAUAUGAAGCUUUAAGUUGGUGAUUGGAUGCGCUAAGUUUGGAGACAAUUUUAUUGGAUCGGAUUAUUAAAGGCAUUUACGAAGAAAAAUGCAUUCAAUAAUUUUCUCUUAUACAUUUUUUAAAUAUAUUAUAGGUGCCAUCAACAAAGUCGUAAUAGAAUUGUUUGCAAUUAUUAAAGGCAUUUACGCACCAAAAAUGCCUUCAAAAAUUUCAUCUAAUUUUUAUGAUAUAUUUAUUGAAGGUGUUUUUUGCAUAAUACACCUUCAAUAAUUCCUUCUUUUUUUUCUAUGAAUAUCAGUCAAUGUGUUUUCUACUAAAAAUGCCUUUAAUAAUUUUCUUUUAAAAAUUGUUUGAGAUUAUUAAAGACAUCUUCUAUAAAAAAAUGCCUUUAAUAUUACACUUCUAAAAUUUUAAGGGGUUAUUAAAGGUGUUUAUUCCAGAAAAAUACCUUGACUAAUUUUUUUUUAUUGAAAAAAUUUAUUGAAGGCGUUUUCUAAUGAAAAACGCAUUCAAUGUUUCACUACUCAAACUUUAAGACGGUUAGUGAAGGCAUUUUUUUAGAACAAACGAGUUCAAUAAAUUUUUUUUAAAAUUUUUGAGAUUAUUAAAAGCGUUUUUCAGUGAAAAAUACAUUCAAUUUUUCAUAACACAAAUUUUAAGACGUUUAGUAAAGGUGUUUAUUCUAGAAAAAUGCCUUCACUAAUUUUUUCUAAUUUACGUACAUAAUAAUUGAAGGUAUUUUUUUAGAACAAACAUCUUCAAUAAUUUUUUCUUAAAAUUUUUUAGAUUAUUAAAGGUGCCUUCAAGUGAAAAAUGCCUUUAAUUUUUCAUAACUCAAAUUUUAAGACAGUUAGUGAAGAUGUUUCUUUUAGAAAAAUGUCUUCACUAAUUUCUCCUAAUUUACAUACAUAAUUAUUAAAUGUAUUUUUUUAAGAAAAAAUGCCUUUAAUAAUUUUUUCUUAAAAUUUUUGGGAUUAUUAAAGGCGUCUUUCAGUGAAAAACGCCUUCAAUUUUUCACAAUUCAAAUUUUAAGACGUUUAAUGAAGACGUUUAUUCUAGAAAAAUGCCUUCAUUAAUUGCUUUUAAUUUACGUACAUAAUAAUUGAAAGUAUUUUUUAAGAACAAAGGCCUUUAAUAAUUUUCUCUUAAAAUUUUUGAGAUUAUUAAAGACGUCUUUUAGUGAAAAAUGCCUUCAAUUUUUUACAACUCAAAUUUUAAGACAGUUAGUGAACGCAUUUAUUCUAGAAAAAUACCUUCACUAAUUCCUUCUAAUUUACAUACAUAAUUAUUGAAGGUAUUUUUUGAAAACAAAUGCCUUCAAUAAUUUUCUCUUAAAAUUUUUAGAAUUAUUAAAGGCAUUUUUCAGUGAAAAACGCCUUUAAUUUCUCACAACUCAAAUUUUAAGACAUUUAGUGAAGGCGUUUAUUCUAGAAAAAUGCCUUCACUAAUUCCUUCUAAUUUACAUACAUAAUUAUUGAAUAUAUUUUUUUAGAACAAACGCCUCCAAUAAUUUUUUUUUUUUUAAUUUUGAGACCAUUAAAGGCAUUUUUUAGUGAAAAACGCUUUUAAUUUUUCACAAUUCAAAUUUUAAGAUAGUUAGUAAAGGUGUUUAUUCUAGAAAAAUACCUAAUAAACACCUUCAUUAAUUCCUUCUAAUUUACGUACAUAAUUAUUGAAGGUAUUUUUUGAAAACAAACGCCUUCACUAAUUUCUUUUAAUUUUUGUACAUAAUUAUUAAAAGCAGUUUUCUACUAAAAAUGCCUUCAAUAAUUUUUGUUCAUAAUUAUCAAAGGUAUUUUUUGAGAAAAAACACCUUUAAUAAUAAAUUUUAUAUUCAUUCCCUAUCUUGGACAUCGGAAUCAAAAUUUGUUAGUAUACAGAAUAAUUAAAAGUUGUAUUAAUCAAUCAAACCAAACCCACAAAUACAUUUCUAUCACACUUUUGGUUUCUUUAUCCCUAUCGUCGCUACCAACCUUUAAUAAAUCAAUGACGCUCACCUCUCUAUUUACCGGUAUGUUUUUAUAAUUUUUGUUUACUGUAUUAUUUAUAUUAUUCGAUAGAGCUAUUUUUUUCGAUUCCUUACUAUUUACAUAUGGAUAUAUAUUUUUAUUAAUUUUAUCGUAAGCGUAGUCCUCCAAGUACCUAUCAUUGCAUGUAUGCUAUUUCUGUGUAGGCUUUUGUUAAUAAUGUGGUUUGCUGAACCUUGUUAUGUGAUAGUGUUUUGCUGAAUAGUAUUGUAUGAUAUUGGUAUGCUAAAUUGUAUACUAAAUGGUUUGCUGAAUGAUGUUUCUGAAUGGUUUGCUGAAUGGUGUUUCUGAGUGGUUUGCUGAAUGGUGUGUCUGAGUACAUUGCUGAUUGAUUUAUUGAAUGGUGUUUCUAUAUGUAGUAUGGUAUUGGUGGUAUUUAAUUACGUACAAUAUUAAAUUUAGACAGUCAUUUUAUGUAAUUCGUAUAAUUAUAAUCAAAAUUAUAGGUAUUUUGACUCUGAACAACAUCAUUUUUCUUCUAUUAAACAUGCAAAAAACACACAUGUAGGUCAAAAAAGAAAGGAAAAGGGCCCAAAUAAAUAAAUUAAAGUGAGUAACAUAAAAAUUCACGUUGAUUUUAAUCAAAGUGGGUAGCCUGUGUCUGAAAGAGCUUCCAAGAUGGCUACUCAUAUUAGAGCCAUCGUCCAUCGUAAGAUUUCAAUUAUGUACACCGCUUGGCGACGAGUUUCUAAUGAUCUAAAAGAUUAUAUUUGGCAGUUGGUAGUGGUAUGUUUAUUCAACUAUUUCAUAAAAUUUGUUAAUGAUCAUUUAAUUGAAAUUCAAUGUGUUCUCACAAAUUAUGUUAAAUAAUUUAGGAACGGUUUGACAUCCUAAUUUAUUGUAAAAAGAUUGUGUUGCAAUAUGCUGAAAAAGCAUUUAGAGAUUUUAAAAGCAGAUUGAUAACCUAAUAUAUUUUAUCACUGGCUAAUCAAGGUGAUGUGUUGGUUAUUCCACCUACGGUAUAUACAGAUAUGAUAAAUGUUGAAGAUUGGAUAAAUUUUGUUUGAUAUCAACUUUCAGAAGAUUUCUCAGUACGUAAAUCCAUUACCAAAAAUAUUGUUUAUAAGUCUUUAUGCAAUAUAGCCUUUGAUCUUCAUAUGUGAUUGACGUAAUUUCUUUCUUUUAUAGAAAAUCAAAGAAAACCAACGGAACAUUUGGGUCAAACAAUAAUAUCACCAUCGAACAGCGAGAAAAGGAUAUGAAAAUGUGAAGUAUAAGCUUGUAUGUAUUCACACACUUGUUUUAUACUCAUUAAUGAAUAUUUAUGAACAUUCAUUUCAUACAUUCUAAUUCUUUUAUUGUGUUAAUUUAAUAGGAAUCAGUAAGCUCUGGCAUCGAUGUUUCUAAAUGGGAUGUCUAGAAACAAAAACAUCUAUAGAAUGAUAGAUCCUUUGUAGAUAAAGUAAUCGAAAAAAUGACAAAAAAGAUUGUAUGUAUAACUACUUUUUUAAUAUAAUAUAUGAUUGACAUUGUGAUUGUAUGCAUGACUGUAUACUAGCUUGUAUAGAUUUAUUGUCACAACCUAUCUUAUUAUUGUCUUUCAGGAUGAUUAUGUUGUCAAAGUCUAAUCAGGUGAAUUGGUAACCCAGUAUGGUGAAGAUCCUUUGUCUUUAGCAUUAGGCGCUAAAGAAAAGCUUGGUGGGGUUAGUAUGGCUGGUAAAUUUGUCUUGCCAUCAAAGUUUUUUAGUAAUCAACAUAAAACCCUGCAAUUGAAAAAUGCACAAUAUGAAGCAAUCAUUGAGCAACAAUAGCAACAAAUUGAUGACUAGGAACAAUGCCUCAAUGAGCAACAAUAAAAACUCGCUGCUUUGGAGUUCAUGUUGGUAGCAAUGUAACAUAACAUGCUAGUAGGCCGAUCGAUAGCAUUAUCCAUGUAGGAUAAGCUGCCAUUGCAAGUAAGAAAGUGAACCCAUCUUCCGCUACCACCUAAGAAGUAUGAUUUUAUUUAUAAUGUUAAUAUUCAUUUGUUUAUUUUAUUUAUUGAUUUAGUUUUAAUACUUAUAUUUUAUUAAAUAUUGUGGCAGGAUGUUGCAACUCACAGUAUGACCCUUGUUCAGCUUACUAUAGAUGAGUUAUCCAAAUAUUCGUUAGAGUAUUUAUCCAGAGAAAACUUCAUAGCCAUUGAGUCUGAAAAAGGAUUAUUUGAUAAACUAUCAUUUUCUUUCAUUGGUGUGGAAGAGGUUAAAGAAUUUUGUGAACUGAAUGAAUUAUCAACUAUUGAUAUUAUUGUUUAUAUGAGGUUAGCUUAUAAAUACAAAUAUGAACAUUCAAUAUGUAGUAAUCUAUAUUAGGAUGUAAUAUUAACUAUCAAUGUUGAUUGUUAUUAUGCAGCUUACUAUAUAGAGAGCUCAAGGGGAGAUAGUUGACCAACAAAUUUAGAUUCAUUGACCCUAACUUCAUUAGUGAGCAGAGUGACACAGUUGCUUAUCGUGCUAAUCAUGUGAUCCAAUGCAUGAAAAGAUUGGCUUAUUAUUAUUUGCUCUCGUAUAAUGUGCAGUAAGUUAUAUUACAACCUUACUCAAAUCUGAUCUGAUGCAUAAUCUGAGUAUAUCAUCGUUAUUAUUUUACAGUCGUCAUUGGUUGCUUAUUGUGAUUGACAUCAAAUCUUUAACGCCAUACUUACUUAAUUUAGUUAAUCUAACAACGAUGCCUAAUCUCGAUAUUCAAACUUUUAUAAAGAGGUAUUACACUUUAUUAUAUUAUAUAUCUUCUAUUUUUUUAUAAGUAAUUUUAUUUAUGUAUUAAGUAAUUUUUUUCUUUUCAAUUUAGGGUAGUAUUUGCAUUCGAUAAGAAGAUAAAGAAACUAAAAUGGGUGUCAUUAUCGAUAAAUAUGAAAUUUAUUCUUUUAUGCUGAGUUUGUGUAGAUAAAGAUUUCCUAAACCCACUCAAUUUAUUUUUUAGGUACCUUGUCAACCCGAUAAUACUAAAUAUGGAUAUUAUGUCCUUCGUUUUAUGCGAAAGAUAGUAUUAGAUGAUUUUAUGACCACACCAUUCAAGAUUAGUAUAAAUUUCAUAAACUCGUUAUAUCUUCAAAAAAAUAAAAAGGUACAUUAUGUUCUCAUUUAUUAACAUUUACUUCUGAUAUAUAUUUUUUAAUAAGAGAGUAAAGAAAUCUUCACGGAAAAAGAAUUGGAUGAAGUUCGUAAAAAAUGGUGUGAGUAUGUAUUAUCAUUUAUCAAUGUUGAUAAACCUUAGGUUAGACAUUAUUGGUUGAAUGUAAAUAUAUGAGGAACAAAUUGUUAUAAUGUUUUAAACAUGCCAUGUUGAAUGGAAACUUUAAGUUUGUACAUUGAGGUAUUGGUUUAAUAUUAUUGGUAUACUUAAUAUGAAUAUACUAUGUGUACUUAAUAUAUUAUUGAGUAUGAUUAUUUCAUAAAAGUAUAUUAAUAUGGCAACGUUAUCAAUUUUAAUUCCGGAUGUGUGGUCAAUUUAUUGAAAUACAACAAUAUUCAUUAUGUAAAUUCCAAAAUGUAAUUCAUAGUAUCACAUAUAUAAAUUAAAUAUUUUUUUAGCAUAAAUAUACAACUGACUUCAAAUAUUUUCUGGGCAUAAACCUACAACUGACUUGACAUAUACAAUAUCAAAUAUAUUUUUUUGAUGGGAUUAAUGAAUGCGUUUUUAGCAAAAAAAAAUGCCUUGAAUCAUCUCUAAUAAAUGUUAUUGAAGACAUUUUUAACUAAAAUCGCUUUCAAUAAUCCCACCUAAAAAUAUAUUAUGUGAAAUAUUAAAGGCAUUUUGAAAAAAAAAAUACUUUCAAGAAUCGUACCAAAUAUUGUGCAUGGAUUAUUGAAUGCAUUUUUGAAAAAAACUGCCUUUAAUAAUUUCUAUUAAAAAUUUAUUUAUUGGAUUAUUGAAAACACUUUCACCCAAAAAUGCCUUCAAGAAUUCGUUUCAUAUUUUUUUUAUGGAUUAUUAAGAGCAUAUUUAGUAAGAAAAUGCCUUGAAUAAUCUUUAACAAAAUGUUAUUGAAGGCGUUUUUUACCAAAACCACCGUCAAUAAUCUCACCUAAAAUUUUAUUGUGUGGAAUAUUAAAGGCGUUUUGGACAAAAAAUGCCUUCAAGAAUUCGUUCCAACUUUUUUCUAUGGAUUAUUGAAGGCGUUUUUUAAAAAAUUACCUUCAAUAAUACCAACUAAAAAUUAAUUGAAUGGAUUUUUAAAGGUAUUUUUUUACCAAUAACACCUUGAAUAAUCCCCAACAAAAUAUUAUUGAAGGCAUUUUUAGAAAAAAUCACCUUCAAUAAUCCGACCAUUCAAAUUUAUCGUCUAAAAUAUUAAAGGCGUUUUGAGCCAACAAUGCCUUCAAGAAUUUAUUUCAACUUUUGUCUAUGGAUUAUUGAAGGCGUUUUUUACAAAAAUUGCCUUUAAUAAUCCUAACUAAAAAUUUAUUGAUUAGAUUAUAGAAAGCGAGUUGGGCCAAAAAUGCCUUCAAAAAUCGAUUCCAUAUAUUUUCCUAUGGAUUAUUAAAAGCGUUUCUCUACGAAAAAAUGCCUUUAAUAUUUUCUCCAAAAUUUUUUAAAGCAAAUGGUGAAGGCAUUUUUACCAAGAAAAUGCCUAGAAUAAUCAAUUACAAAUAAUCUCUACAAAAACCCAAAAAAGGCUAAAGAGAGGGAUCAAACAUAUCACCUUAUGGUUAACAUCCAUACGAUCUUAAAAUUUUGAUAUGAUAUUUAUUGAAGGUGUUUUUAACCAAAAACACCUUCAAUAAGCCUGUGAAAUUUUUUGGUGAAAUUAUUAAAGGUGUUUCUUAUAGAAAACGCCUUCAAUAAUUGUAUACAUUUUUGUUAUGAGGGGAUUAUUGAAUGUGUUGUCUGCUAAAAAUACCUUCAGUAAUUCCCUAUCAAUUUUUUUAAUGGGAUUAUUCAAAGCGUUUCUGACAAAAACGCCUUUAGUAUUCACUCAAAUUUUUAAGACAAGAUUAUUUAAGGUUUUUAGUUGAGAAACAUCGUUAAUAUAAAGUCUUGGGUGAUGUUUAUAAGUAACAACGUCACUAUUUGAAUAUUUAGUGACGUUUUGAUAAUAAACGUCUUAAGUUUUAUGAAAACAUGAAAAUUAGCGACGUUUGUAAGUAAAACGCCGCUACAAAAUUGUCACUAAUAUUUCAUUUUCUUGUAGUGAAUUAUUAUUAUACUAAACCAAUCUUUUUUCUCCACUCCAAUAUCCAAGAAUUGUCAAAGAAUUUCUAUAACAUCCAUGCAUACACUUUGAAACAAAUAUAAUAUUUAAAGUUUUUAUAAAAAUUUCAAAAACAAAGAAAAAGAAACAUUGAUUUUAAUGUUUUUAAUAUGUGGAUGAACAAAUUAUAAAAAGAAAAAAAAUGGUGCAUCUCACGAGUUAAAAACCCAUUUCUUUGCAAGCAUAAAUGUUAAAAAAAUAUAGAAAUAGAAGUAACAUUGAGAAUAUCAUUAAAGAAUAAAUUAUCUUCUAAUAUAUGUGAUAUUUUAUCUUUUUAAAUUUAAAAAUAAUCAAAUAAUAAAAUAUUAUUAUGAAAUCUCUAAAAAUAAAAAUUAUAUUUUAAAUUUUGAAAAUUAAAAUGACAUAUUUAAAUUACUAAGAAAUCUAUUUUAUAAUAUCACUACAUUUAAGAUUUUUAGAUUUAAAAGGAUAUAUAUUUAUAUUAUUAGGAAACCUAUUUUAAAAGAUAAUAUAUCACUAUAUUUGAAAAUUUUAAAUGGAAAAAGAUAUAUAUAUAUAUAUCUAUAUAUAUAUAUGUAUGUAUAGAUUAUUUAGAAAUGCAUUUUUGAAAAAAAAAUAUUUUAAAUUAGAUUUUGUUGUUAGCAACUUAAAAAUAUCCGAAUUGGUCUUCUACUUAAAUUUAAAAAUUUUAGAUAAUUAAGUAAUUUUUAAAUAUAUAUUUUUGAUAAAUAGCUUAAAAUUAGGAAAUAUCUUAUAAGUUAUUAUAAAGAGAAAUUUUAAAAAUUUUUCUAUGUGUCGAAAAAACAAAUUAUCCACUUAAAUAUCCACAUAAGUAAAUUUUAUCAAUUUUCUAUUUAUGUUAUAAUAUAAUAUUAUAUAUGAUAAUUAAGGAGUUAAUUAUGACACUUGCAACCAAUACAAAAAGAUAAUAACAAAAAUUUGAUCGUAAUAUAUUAAACAUAAAUUUAUUUUCUUUUUUAUAUCUUAAUAUAUUUAUAAUAUUUUGUAUGCAAAUUAAUAUUUUAUUAUUUUUAUAUUAAAAUAAUUAUAAAUAUGUGUAACAAAAUAUUAAUGAAAAGCAAAAUUAUUUCAAAUAAAUACAAAAAUAAUUGUAACUCUAUUCACACAUUCUAAUAUUUUAGCAUCAAUUAUUUAAUAAAUAAAUCAACUUAAUUAACACUAGGGAUGUCAAUUGAUAACGUAUGAGAUGGGUAAAGCAUUCCCUCUCCUUAUUCUUAAUUUCUUAUAUUAUAAUUAUUUUUUUACUCAUAUCUAAUGAAUAUUUUAAAUUUAUUCACAUCUUUAUUUCUAUGGGUAUUUAAUGGGUAUUACUAAUUCUUGUAUCCAUGACUUUUUAAAAAAAAUAAAAAAUAAGAUUUAUUUUUAAAAUAUUUUUAUCUUGCAUAUUUAAGUAAUUUUUUUAUAAAUAUAUAUUUUUUAAAUACAAAUAUAUUUGAUGUAAUACAUCUAAAAUAAAAUUAUAUUAUUAAAUAAAAAUUAAUUUAUUAAAUAUAGAAAAAAAUAUAUAGGAUAUGGGUAUGAAAUGAAUACUAUAUUACUUAUUAGCAUACCCAUACUCUAUAAAACAUAUAAAAUCAUCUUUAUUCUCAUUUUCAUCAUCAAAAUUUAAUAUCCAUUUUUAUCUUAAUUAAAAUAAAAAUUAAAUUCUUCAUUAAAUUUGAAUAAAAUUAACAUCCUAAUUAACAUAAAAAAUAGCGGGGAUGAAUACUAGUAUCCUUUUGAAAAAGGGUGACCUGAUGUAAAAGAUGGUGGCAACAUACUCUUGUGUAUUUGAUAUACUAAAAUCGUGGAAUUAUUUGUGCUGAAAAGUGAUCACCCAAACCGAUUAGGCCAAGUUCAAGGGCAUUUGGUGAAGUUCGAGCCUUCAUUUUUCUAUAUAUUUAUUGUAAAUAAAAAGUGCUCAAGGGCUAGCCUACAUGCUAGGCCCGCGAGAAUGACUCACUUGGACUGAAUUAUAAUUUAAGUUUGAUCUGCCCUGUUUUAAAGAUAUUAGAUUAUAUUGUAUAAAUAAUUUAUUUUGUAUAAUUUUUAUUACAAAAUAUAUUUUUAAACAUUAAUAUAAAAAAUUUCAUGUAUAAUAAUAAAUAUAAAAUAAAUGAAUGGGUCAAUUUAAAUUAAAUUAUGCUCAAACUUCUAUUUUUAAAGUAUCAAUACCAUUUCUAAUUGUGAACAAGUUAAAAUUUUUUUUCUUUAUUUUUGUAUCUAUUAAUUUUAAUAUGUUUAUAAUUAUUAUUCAUAUGUAUCCAAUUGGAUUAUUGAUUAUGGAUCCCAUAAACAUAAAUCAAAAUAACAAAAAACAUUGAAAACAAAUCAAAAUGAUAUUUGUUGUGAACCAUAUAAUUUGAUGUAGGUUAGACAUGGCAAAAAAUCUCAUCUUCCCCUCCAUUCCCCUCCAUUCCCCUCCAUUCAAUUUGAUGUGAACCAUGCAUUAAUAAUAUAAGUAGCAAUCAUAGAGGCGUGGAGGGGUCCCUCGUCCAACAGCCCAAGCCAUGUUAGUGUCACAUUCACGUAUGCGCUGACGCUAUUGAUCAGAUUACUAGCCGAGUGGUUAGAGAAAAAGACGUACAAGCAUUUCUGAAUUGGAUUCUCUCCCAACAAGACUAACCCAGACAAGUGUCACGGGAAAAGGACAAUUCAACGUAUUAAGAAGUCUUGUCAAAUAGGGCCUCCUAAAAUACCGACAAGAUAAAUUGAUGAUCAAAGGAGAAAAACUGAAACAAUUGAUUUAGCCUUUUUAAAAUAAUCAUUAUAUUUGAUAUAUUAUUAAUAUAUAAAUUUUAUAUAUUAUUAAUGAAUAAAAUAAUAUUUAUUUAUUAAUAAAAAUUUAAUAAAAAAUAAAUUUUUUUAUUUAUCUUUAAAGAUUAAUAAAAUUUUUUUUAAUUAUUAAUAAAAUGAUAUCAUUUAAUUUAUUAAUAAUAUAUAAAAUUUAUAUAUUGAUAAUAUAUCAAAUAUAAACUCUAUAUUUAUUAUGAAGAUAAUCAAACACGAUAGCUUGUUUCAUUUUCUUUUGAUGCUUGUCAUUAAAUUUUUAUUUUUGGAUAAAUUUCUUUGUUUGAAACAUUUCAAAUUAAUUAGUUAAUUUGUAGAUAAAGUUAGUAUUAAUUAUUUUAUAAAAAAGUUUUAAAACAAUCAAUUUUAAAAACUAUUAGAAAGUUAUUUUGUAAUUGUUUAAUUUUACUUUUGGUAAUUAAAAAAAAUUUUUGAUUGGUUAUAUUUAGAUUUAUUAAUCGGACUGAGUCGAGUUUAGCCCCAAGUUUAGUAUGAUAUUUUAAUAUUUUAAGUAAAUUUAAAGCCAGUUGAUUUUUUGAAUUUAGGUUUGAGUCUAAUUUAAUUUUGUUAAAUAUAAUUUAAAAUUAUAUUAUUAUUUUAUACAAAGAAUAAAUAAGUUUUAUCUUAUUAUAAGUAAUAAAGUAAAUAUGUAUUGUCCAUUAUAAAAAAAUAAAACAAAUGGGUCUUAUUUCAUUAUGAUAAAAAUAUUUUUUUUAAUUUUUGAGUUUGACAAGAUCAAACUCAAGCAUGAAAUGGUGAAACACAAGUCCAACCUCAUUUUUUUUAUUCGAUAUCAUUUGUUUAUCUAGGUCCAUUUAAUGAGCUUAAUAUUUACAUCUAAAUCUUUCAAAAAUUCAAAACAGGAUUUCAAGUUCGGAUAAACUAUCUAACCUAUGAUCAAGUCUAAUUAUAUUACAUUUGUACAUAAUGUGGGGUUACUUAUUUGUCACCCUAUCACCCUUAGUUAUUCUUAGAAAUAAUUUCAUUUUUUACCAUUAUAUUGUGCAUGAAAAAUGUAUUUGGUAUUAGAUUAUUAUAGGAUAAGAUAAAAUGAUAUAAUGAAUAGAAUUAAAUUAAAUAGUAUUAUCUUAUCUUAUAUUUGAUAUAUGUAAAAAUUAAGAUAAAAUAAUUUAUUUAUUAGUCAAAAUUAUUCUUUCUUAAAAUUUAUAUAAUUUAAAUUAUUAAUAUAAUUUUUAAGGGUAUAAUAAGACAUGUAAAUUCAAUUUCAUGAAUUAAAAUAAUUAUUUUUACUUUGAGAAUAUUAAAGUAUCUUAUACCAAAAGAAUGAUUAAUCCUUAUUGUAAUAAUAUAUCUUUCUUUAAAUAUAAAUUAAAUAUAAUAUAAAAUAAUUAUUAUCUUAUCUUAUCUAUCAUUUUAUACAUUAAAUAUGAAUAAAAAAUAUUUUAUAAUACAAAUAUAAAGAUAAUAUUUAUUAUUUUAAUAAUAAAAAAUAAUUAAAUUAGAUAAUCAAAAUGAAUUUAACUUUUUUCCUUUAUAAUUUAAUAAGCCAAUCCAACCCGUAAACUAAGUUUGGUUUAAGAUAUUUUGUAUCAUGCAAUAGCAAAAUCCAGAAUAACAAAACAAAGAGAAACUAAAUUUGUAAUGAUGUGGUGAAAAGUCGUAUGAUCUAUUACUAUCACCCCACGUGCAAAAGCCCAACGUACACGAUAGCUAUUAAUAUGUAAGCGAUGACAGCAGCCAUUUCUUGGACAAUGUCAAACUCUAUUUUUUUUUCCUUAAAUAUCUCAUACAACGGUGUUACAAGAUACCAAUCAACAUCUCCAUUCAGACAACGUGAAUAUGAUAUUGUAGCGUUAAAAUUAAUUUUAAUAAAAUUAAAAAUAAUAAUAAUGAUGAUAUUAAUUAUUAUAAUAAUAAAAUUAAAUAUGUAAUUAAAAUUAAUGAUAAAAUAUAUAUUUAAAUAAAAAUAUAGUGACAUCGAUAAAAUAAAAUAUAAUGAAAAAAUUGAUUAUUAAAAAUAUUAAAUUAAAUUUUAUAUAUAAUAAACUUUAUAAUAUAUAUUUGAAAAGUUAUUAAAUAAUUAUAAAUUAUUAAAAUUAUUUGUAUAUAUCAAAUUAAAAUUUUUACAUAAUAAAAUUUAAUGUAUAUUUGAUUUUUUUAAAGUCAAUAAAUAAUUAAAAAUUACUAACAAAAAUGAUAGCUUUAUAUAAUUUAUUUUUUAAAUAAUUUACUUCAGCACUCAAGUGAUAAAAAUAUUAAAAGCUUUUUCUAAACAUUGAUCAAAGAAAAAUAAAUAAAUAAUAAAAAAGGAAUACAAAAUAAUAUACAUAAAGAUUGGACACAAAAUAAAAUACGUGGACUAUCAUAUACUCUUUAUUAGGUUUCUUGAUUUAAGGCUUUUAAAAUUGAAUUGAAAAAUGUUAAAUUGAGUUAUAUGUAAGGGUAUUUAAGGGUUUUUGUCUUCAAUCGCAGAUUACAAAUUUUCACUGAUCUCUUUAGCUCCAAUGACGAUUGAGGGGUGUGGUGCAGUUGAAAGAUUCCAAUCGUGCAUCCAAACAUGCUUCUAUGGUGCAAAAUUAUGCUUUAUUGCACCGCAAUGGUGCGGUGAUAAAAGCGAAACCAAAUGGCCCUAAUUCUCCAAGAUGACAAUAUCUCCUACGCAAGAAGUAUCUAAGAUGACAAUAUCUCCCACGCGAGUAAACAAAAAGACAGUUGAUCUGAGUGGGAAAUUAAAAUAAGCUAUGAAAGCAACAUGAUUGUGAUGCAUAUUAAAAGUAAUCAAACUUGGAAAUUUCGGCCCAUUGAAAGAUGGGUGGGUCCAAACUUUUUAGCAAUACUCCUGUUACGCCCCUCUAUAAAAGCAAAUACAUUUUAAUUCUAUACACCACCAAAAAAAAAAAAAAUCAAAUCAAAUAAAACAAACACAGAGUUACCAGAAGCAAAUCGAACAAUGGAAGAAGCAGCAAUUCUUUACUCAUUUCUUUCUUUUAUCUUUCUUAUCAUUUGUUUAAACUUGUUCUUUCAAUCAAGAAAGCACCCCAAAAACCUCCCUCCAAGCCCACCAUCACUACCCAUAAUUGGCCACCUUCACCUCCUAAAACCCCCCAUCCAUCGUUUGUACCAUAGCCUUUCACAAAAAUAUGGUCCAAUCUUCUCCCUUCGCCUUGGUUCUCGGCUUCUUGUUGUAGUAUCAUCUUCAACCGCAGCCGAGGAAUGCUUCAGCAAGAACGAUAUAGUUUUUGCCAAUCGCCCCAAGUAUAUCAUAUGGAAACACUUAGGCUACAACUAUACGACACUUGUAGCAUCGUCUUAUGGUGAUCAUUGGCGCAACUUACGUAGAAUUGGUGCCAUUGAAAUCUUCUCAUCAAGUCGUCUAAACGCCUCUGUGACUGUUCGAAAAGACGAAAUCAGGCGCUUGUUAUUAAAACUGUCGUGUGAUUCGCGUCAAGAGUUUGCGAAAGUGGAGCUGAAAUCUAUGCUUAAUGACAUGACCUUUAAUAACAUAAUGAGGAUGGUGGCAGGGAAGAGGUACUAUGGAGAUGAAGUGACGAAUGAAGAAGAAGCAAGAGAAUUUAGGGAACUUAUAGCAGAGGCAUUCAAGAAUAGUGGAACGGCAAAUCAAGCAGAUUACUUUCCUAUAUUGAACUGGUUUGGUGAAGGGUUUGAAAAGAAGGUGAAGAAGGUUGGAAAAACGAUAGACAGGUUCUUGCAAACUUUGAUUGAGAAUCACCGAAGCAAGAGGCAGGACAAUAAUAGUAUGAUUGAUCACCUUCUUUCCUUGCAAGAAUCUGAGCCUCAUUACUAUACUGACGAAAUUAUAAAAGGGUUCAUAUUGGUAAUUAGUUGAAUCUUUGUCUUUUUUUCUUUUUACUUUUCAAUAUUUUAUUAUUGAAAGAUAUUCGGUUUUGAAUUCGGAGCUUAGCUUAAUUGGUUCAUGUUCUUAAUUUUAGAAGAUGACAUUCAAAUCUGAAAUGUCCUAAACUAACAAAUUAACGUUGUUGUGUAGGUGAUAAUACUUGCAGGAACUGAUACAUCAGCAGUCACAAUAGAGUGGGCAAUGUCCAAUUUGCUAAAUCACCCAGAAUUAUUGAAGAAGGCUAGAGCUGAACUAGACAAUCAAAUUGGUCAAGAAAACCUGAUUGAUGAACAAGAUGUUUCCAAGCUACAUUACCUUCAAAGCAUUAUAUUGGAGACACUUCGAUUAUACCCUGCAGCUCCUCUUCUGCUUCCACACAUGCCAUCUAGCGAUUGUACCUUAGGUGGAUACAACGUGCCACGUGGUGCGAUCGUAUUGGUGAAUGCAUGGGCCAUUCAUAGGGAUCCAAAACUAUGGGAUGAUCCAACAAGUUUUAAGCCAGAGAGAUUUGAAAAUGGUGAGAAAUUAGGAGAAUAUUCUCACAAGCUAAUGCCAUUUGGGUUAGGAAGGAGGGCAUGUCCAGGAGCAGGCCUGGCUCAGCGAAUGGUGGGAUUAGCUUUAGGAUCUUUGAUUCAAUGCUUUGAGUGGGAAAGGAUUGAUGGCAAGGAAAUUGACAUGACUGAAGGAAAGGGAACCACCAUGCCUAAAGUUCAGCCAUUAGUUGCCAUGUGCAAAGCCCGUCCCAUCGUGAAUAAUGUUUUUUAUAAACAAAUUUGAUUAAAACUGUUUCAUUAUUUAUCAUAAGUUGGGUGAUUAUAUUACAAAAGUAGCUUUGAUUACCUAUCUAGUAAAGAUUUUAUUGUAGUAAUAUACAGUUAGUGUGUUCUAUUUUUUUCUCUCUCUCUUUUUUUGGUAUGAUUGGAUUAGUCCAAAUAAAAAAAAGUAGGUCAAAUUAUGUAACCAAUAUUUGUAUUUUAAUUAAAUGAUAAAAUUAAUCCUUCUAUUUUAAUAUGUUUAAAUUGGAUCUUUAUACUUCCUUUAAUUAUCGAAUUUAAUAAAAUUAUUAACGGUUCAAAUAUUUUUCAUUAAAAUUGAUGACUUAAUAUUUUGACUUUUUUAAGGUAGCAUUUUUUUUACGUAACUGUUGACUAUAUUGAUGUUUAAGGUCCACAUGAUCAAAGAUAAUAACAUGGCAAAUUUUUUUUAUUUAUCAUCACUUUUUCACGUCAACUUUUUCAAAUUGCACAGACCGUCUUUAUACUUUCGAUUAAAUAAUAGAAUUAAUCUUUUUAUCUUAAUGUGUAUUAUAAUUUUGAUCCUUAUAUAUUAAUUAAUUAUUGAAUUUAGAAUUUGAUACUCAUUGCAUUCAAAUUUUAUUUUUAAAUUAUUCAUAAUCAAUGUUUUACUAAAUGGAACACUGAUAAUAGAAAAUCUAACCUCAACUUGAUUCUAAUGAAUUUUGAAACUUCAAAGACAUAAUUGAAAGAGCUCAGAACUCAAAAACAGAUCUUUUAAUGAAAACAUGAAAAUCUUACUUAGAAUAAGACUAGCCAAAAGCUCCCUAAAUAAGUUAAGAGACUUAACAAAGUCUUGGUGAAAGACAACACAUAAGAGGACCCCAUGCUCGACUAAAACAAACCAUUCGAUGCAUUGAGAGCCCUCUAAGCUAAUCUAGCCUCCCAAAUGAACUCUAAGUUUUUUACCUCCUAGGAUGUCAACAUCCUUGAAAGUGACUUUUUUUUCGGAACAACUUAACUUAGAAAUCUCAAUUUAUGACACCUUUUGAGAAUAAAGAGGGUUAAAGGAUUCAAUUUUAAGCUUUUUUUUUUUUUUUUUUAUGGUUGUCUAUUAUUAUAAUAUACACCAACAUUGGAGUUUUUUAAAUUCUAUAAAAGGAAUCCUCUUAUUUAUUUAUUAAUUUUUUAAGAGAUAUUAUCAAAUAUAUUAAAACAAUAAAAUUUUUUAAUUUUACAAAUAAAAUAUAUUUUAUUAUAUAUUUUUAAAAAUUAAAAAAUUAAUUUUAAAAAAACUGAAACAUAUAUCAUUAUAUUAACUUCACUUAUAAAAUUAAAAAAUUUCAUUAAUAAUAUAUCAAAUAAUUUUUAAAAAUAUAAUUUAAUAGAGAAUGUAUCUAUCAUAACGUUUAGAUCCGGAGACCUAUCACUAGACAUUGACUUGAAGAGUCACCACAAUCUUUUUUGUUUAUGUGCGAUUGGCCACCUGACUGAAUCUGUCCUUUUUUAGAAAGAAAUCCUAAGUUUGACUUAGGUAUCUUUGCAAGGUAGAUUCAAUAUCCACGAAACCAGAACUAGAUCAAGGAAUGUGGUUACGUGUGAGGAAAGUUAUAGCACUCUCACAACGCCUAUCAAAAGAUGGUACCAGCUUGAUUUCAUUUUAUCCAUUAGCCUUAAAAAUUUUACUAAGUAAUUAAUUAUUGAAAAUUAUUCUUAAUUGACUCCAAUACUUUUGGCAAAAAAUUAAGAAAAUCUCAUCACCUCAAAAGUAUACAAGAAAAUUAUUUUUUUUUUACAGAGGCUCCAUCGUCGGAUUAUUUAUCAUUAAAAAUUUUCAAAGAAAGAAAAGGAAAAGAAUAAUGAUUCGAACUCUUGAUAUAGAUCUUUUGUAGUUUUAUAAGAAACAACUCAUGUUUUUAUACAAGGAAAAUUGAUACUUUAACUUUUCCUUAAAGCAUUUUAAAGUUUUUUAUUUUUAAAGAAAAAUUGAUACUUUCAACUUUUCCUUAAAAAUCCCUUUUUGAAAUCUUUAUUUUUUAAUUUUAAGAAAAAUUGAUACUUUCAACUUUUCCUCAAAAGAUGUUUUCUUGAAAAUUUUAAUUUCAAGGAAAAUUGGUACUUUCAACUUUUCCUCAAAAAUGCUUUUUGAAAAAUUUUAUUUUUAGGAAAAUGUAUACUUUCAACUUUUCCUCAAAAUAUGUUUUCUUGAAAAUUUUAUUUUCAAGGAAAAUUGAUGCUUUCAACUUUUUCCAAAAAAAAAAAUGUUUUCUUGAAAAUUUUAUUUUUAAGAAAAAUUGGUACUUUCAACUUUUUCCUCAAAAAUGUUUUUUUGAAAAAUUUAUUUUCAAGGAAAAUUGGUACUUCCAACUUUUUCCUCAAAAAUGUUUUUUUGAAAAUUUUAUUUUCAAGGAAAAUUGAUACUUUCAAUUUUUUUCUCAAAAAUAUUUGAUUUUAAAAUUUUUAUUUUAAAAAAAAUUGAUACUUCCAACUUUUUCUCAAAAAUAUUUGAUUUUAAGUAAUCAUUGAAAAUUAAAGAAUGUUUAAUUAAAUAAAUUAUUUCAAUUUAAUAAAAAAAACACAUAAGCAAAAAAAAUAGUAAAUAAAUAAAUAAUAACGAUAAUAAAUGAAAAAAAAACUUGGCUCGGCUUCGGCUAGGCUUGGACAGUAUACAGCUCUAGAGACAGACUCAGCUUGAGCGGCUCAGUGCACGACUCGGCUCACUCAACUCAACAGGGGCUGGGUGAUACGGGUAGGCGGGUCGAAGCGCUACGAGUCAGGUUAGACUGUAAGGAAACGCGCGGAUCCUAUCGGGUUCUUAGCUCAAAAUGACGUGAUUUUUGGACUAUAUAAAAGGCAAAAAAAAAAUCUUCUGGUCUUCAGACGCUCCUUCCCUUUUCUCUCUCUUCUCUUCUGUUUCUCACUUUAUGUGAUUUUUUAUUGUCGUCUUUCGUUGAAUGCCAUCGAAAAAAUAAUCGAUUUUUGGGUUUUAUCAUCAAAAACUGAGUUUUUCAUCGAAACUUGCCGAAAAACUUGAAUACUCGUCGAAAAAUUCGUCAAAUUUUGAAAAUUUCCUAAAAAAUUCCAGAAACUUGAGAAAAGCUAAAAAAAACAAAUUAAAAACCACAAAUUCCCCAAGAAAUCUUUUGAAACAAAAAAUUUCCUCGGAUCACUCCUAUUUUCCCCUCCUUUCUUUUUUGUGUUCUUACUCUUGUGAUUGAUGGGGUUUAUAUGGGGUUGGGUACACGGUUGAAUAGGAUUUCAAAAUCAAACUUUCCCCCUCAUCCAAUCUGUUUAUCCCCAUUCAAAAACCAAAUCCUUGAUCCUGUUUUUAAAAAUUAAAGUCUUAAUCUUAGAGUUUUACUAUGACUAAAAUUUUACUUUUAUUUAUUUAUUAUUUUAAAUAUAUUAAACUUAUCUGAAAAGUGGGUGUUUAUAGUUGCCCCUUUUUGCAUAUUUUUUAUGAAAUAGAGAUUAUGCAAAGACAUAAACACCUAUCAUGACUUUGUUUAAGAAAGAAAAUACUUUGGUGUAACUGAAUCAAGUCAAAAAAUGGAAUAACUCUAAGAAAGAUCUAGCAUAAGCUAAAAUCCAAAACACAAUAACUUAGAUUGAACUGAAGUCUAAAAUAAAUAGCUUGGACUAAGCUAAAAAAGGAUCUAACAUAGGCUAAAAUCCAAAAGCAAAAUGACUUGGAUUGAACUGAAGUCUGAAACGCAAGCUAAAAAAGGAUCCAACAUAAGUCAAAAUCCACAACGAAAUGAUCGAGACUGAAUCAAAGUCUAGAAUGAAUGGCCUGGACUAAACCAAAAAAAGAUCUGGUAUAGGUCAAAAUCCAAAAACAGAAUGACUUGGAUUGAAUCGAAUUCUAAAACGAAUGACUUAGACUGAGUCGAAGAAAGAUCUGGCAUAGGCUGAAAUCUAAAAAUAAAAUGAUCUGGAUUGAACCAAGAUUUGAAACGAAUGACUUGGACUGAGUCGAAGAGGAUCUAGUAUAGGCCAAAAUCUAAAUAAAUAAAUAAAUAAAAUGACCUAGAUUGAACCGAAGUCUGAAACGAAUGACUUAGACUUAGCCGAAUAAAAAUUUGAUAUAAGUCAAAAUCUAAAAAUAGAAUGACCUGGAUUGAAUCGAAGUCUGAAAUGAAUAACUUAGGCUAAGCUGAAGAAGGAUCUGGCAUAUAUCGAAUUCAAAAAUCGGAUGAUCUGAAUUGAACCGAAAUCUUAAACGAAUGACUUAGACUAAGAAUGAUUUGAAAAAAGUCAAAAUUUGAAACAGAAAGACUUGGACUGAAUCGAAACCUGAAAUGAAUAACUUAGACUAAGAAGGAUUUGACAAAAGUCAGAAUCCAAAACUGAAAGACUUGGACUGAACCGAAGCCUGAAAUGAAUAAUCUGGACUAAAUCAUAAUACGUUAGUGCAGGUUGUAUUUGAAACAACUGCCGCUUCAUUCUUGGCAACUUUAAUCAUCUGUGGGGUCUGAAUACCUUCUUCUAAAAGCAAAUGACAUGCGUACCUAAAGUGUUAUGAAAUGCCAAUUUUCUUGGAAUGCCUACAUGAAAUGUUAUGAGACAUUAGGCUUAUCUAAUUAUGAUAAAAAGAUUCUAAAGCUCUUUGUCGUUUUCAUUUUCGCUUCAGUGAUGGAUCCUUUAACUUCUAAAGAUAUUUGGUUAAGGAAUCAAAUUAUCAUUAUCUUUUAGCUUCAACCAAACCGAGAUCACCAUUUCACUAAGUUUCCAUUGUUCUCAUUUCACUUACCUAUGCCACUCUUGGCUUUCCAAAGUAAUAAAGAGAAUUUUCAUAUCAUUAUUUGUUCAUUCAUUAUCAUUUCAAUAUAAUGACAGAUGUAAAGCAAAUGCACAUUUCUUUUUACCUGGGUAAAAGGGUAAACAAAAAAAAAUAAUAAAAGAGGUUAAUGUUGACGUCAAAAAAGAAAUGGAUUUUAUUGAUUGAAUGGGACUGAGUUACAAAGGUGGGCUAAAGUGGGCUGUCACAUAAUCAUGAUCAAAGUAACCUAGAGUUUUCUUCCCAAAAUCAUCCACCUAGAAUUCUUGAUCUUGUCGAGUUCAUCAAAUCACACUUGCUCCUUGUGCCAUGAAACUAAUAUCUUAAACCUCUAACUGCCUUUUUGGGCCUUCAACUUAAAUAUCCUCAAACUACUUUUUGUGGGGUUUUUAAUUCGAGCCUUCCCUUUUUUGGAACUCUAACCGCCCUUUACGAGUUUUCAAUUUGAGCUCUUUUUUCUUUUCUCUUUUUUGCUUUUUGUUUUUUGUUUUUUGUUUUUUAUUUUUAUUUUUUUAUUUUUUGUUUUAAACUCAAACUGCCCUUUACGGGUUUUCAAUUUGAGCAUUUUUUUUCUUUUUUUUUUUAACUCAAAUUGCCCUUUACGAGUUUUCAAUUUGAGCAUUUUUUUUGUUAAGAAAAAUACUUCUUCACAGCAUCUGAAUUUAUUGGAUUGGGCAAAUCUUCUCCAUUUAUUUCUAUCAAGAUUAAAGCUCCUUCUGAGAAUGCCUUCUUGACAAUAUACGAACCUUUCCAAUUUGGAGUUCAUUUUUCUCUAUUGUCAUAUUGACUUGGGAGAAUCCUUUUCAAAACCAACUCCCCUUCAUGAAAACAUCGAGAUCGAAUUUUCUAUCAUAUGCCUGCAUCAUUCUCUUUUGGUACAACUACCCAUGACAUAGCGUUGUCAAUCUUUUUUUCUCAAUAAAAUUCAAUUGCUUGUAACAUUCCUAAAUCAAUUCAGCUUAUUCUAAAUCAACUUCCCUUAAAAUUCUCAAAGAGGAAAUUUUUACUUCUACAGGUAGCACUGCUUUCAUUUCAUAGACCAAAAAAAUGGGGUUGUCCUAGUAGAAGUAUGUACUGAUAUUCGAUAAGCGUGCAAAGCAAAAGAUUACUUCUCAUGCCAAUCUUUAUAGGUCUCAGUCAUUUUUUCAAGAAUCUUUUUAAUAUUCUUGUUUGCUGCUUCACUACUCCAUUCAUUUUUAGAUGGUAAAGUGUCGAGUUGUGAUGCUUGAUCUUAAAUUGGGCACAUAUCUCUUUCAUCAUCUUACUAUUAAGAUUUUUGGUAUUAUCUGAGAUAAUUCUUUUUGGGAACCUAUAUCUACAUAUUACCUCUGUCUUAAUGAACUUACACACCAUCGAUCGGGUCACACUAGCAUAUGAUGCAGCUUCAACCCAUUUUGUGAAAUAAUCAAUCAUUACAAAAAUGAACCUAUGUCCAUUUGAAGCAUUCGGUGCGAUGGGUCCGAUAACAUCCAUACCCCACAUUGAAAAUGGCCAUAGAGGCACUAUGACAUGUAAAGCAUUUGAAGGGGCAUGUAUUUUAUUUGCGUAGAUUUGACACUUAUGACAUUUUUUAGCAUAAUCUAUACAGUCACUUUUCAUGGUCGACCAGUAAUACCUUACCCUCAUAAUUUGUCUUGCCAUUAUGUGACCACUUACAUGAGCUUUACAACUCCCAUCAUGAACUUCUUUUAUGAUCUUUUGUACCUCUGUUGCAUUCACACAUCUUAAGAGAACUAGAUCUCGAUUCUUCUUAUACAAGAUAUUUUCGUCAAAGAAGAAACCCAUGACUACUUUCUUAAUAAUCCUCUUGUCAUUUUCAGAAGCAUGCUCUAGGUAUUGUUGAUUCUUUAUAUACUAUAAAAUGUCAUAAUACCAAGGCUUCCUAUCAACCUCCUCUUCAACAUUUGAAUAAUGUGCUGGAAAUUCUCUCACAUCAAGCUUUAUGGACUGAAUUUUAAUAUUUGUCUUCACUUUGAUCAUAACUACUAAUGUGGCUAGGGCAUCAGCAAUUUAAUUAUCUUCUCUAGGUAGAUGUUCAAAUUGAAUCUUCUCAAAUUGUUUAACCAAAACAGCGACAUACUUGUGAUAUUUUAUUAGCUUUGCAUCUUUUGUCUCACAUUCUCAUUUUAACUGGUAAAUAACCAAGGUUGAGUCUCCAUAGACUUCUAAUACUUUGAUUUUUCUUUCAAUUGUAGCUUGUAAGCCCAUAACACAGGCUUCGUGUUCAACUAUAUUAUUAGUGCAAUUGAAGUUCAACCUUAUUGUGAUAGGGAUAUAAUUCCCUUCUAGAGAUAUCAAGAUUGCCCUAAUUUCAUGUCCUAAAGCAUUUACAACUUCAUUAAAAUACAUCUUCUAGGACUGCUCAGUAGACUCUUCCUUAUCAACUUAGGAAACGACCAUCAGGUCUUUAUCCGAAAAAUCAAGCCUUAUUGGCUCAUAAUCAUUAGCUGUAUGUUCUGCUAGAAAUUCAGCUAUGGCACUUCCUUUAAUUACUUUUUGAGUUAUAUAGACGAUAUCAUAUUCGAAAAGCAUUACCUACCAUCGAGCAAUUCUUUCAAAUAGUGAAGAAUUUUUUAAAAUAUAUUUGAGAGGAUCCAAUUUUGCUAUGAGCCAUACGAUAUGGUAUAGCAUAUAUUGCCUAAGCCUACGAGUCAUCCAAGCUAAGGCACAAUACAUCUUUUCCAAUAAGGAAUACUUUAACUCAUAGUCAAUAAAUUUCUUACUUAAAUAGUAGAUGGCUCACUCUUUCCUGCUUGUUUCAUCUUGUUAUCCUAGCAUGCAUCCCAUUGAGCUUUCGUUCACAGUUAAAUAAAGAAUCAAUGAUUUUUCUAGAAUAAGUGGUACUAGUAUAGGUGGAUUUGACAGGUACUCUUUGACAUUAUCGAAAGCUUUCUAACAUUCAUCAUCUCAUUUACCUGAGCUAUGUUUACGAAGGAGUUUGAAAAUAGGAUCACAUUUAAGAGUGAGCUGAGAAAUGAAUUGAAAUAUAUAAUUCAACCUUCCCAAAAAACCUCAUACCUCUUUUGGUGUGCAUGGAGGUGACAAGUUUUGGAUGGCUCGGAUCUUGUCAGGAUCUACCUUUAUUCCUCUUUCACUGACUACAAAACCCAAUAGCUUCCCUGACUUAGCCCCAAAUAUGCAUUUUGAUGGGUUUAAUUUCAGCUAAAAUCUUCUCAACCUCUUGAAUAAUCUUCUAAGGUUGGCAACAUGAUCUUUUUUUUCUUUAGACUUUGCGAUCAUGUCAUCCAUGUAUACUUUUAUUUCUUUAUGCAUCAUGUCGUGAAAGAGAGUUACCAUAGCUCUUUGGUAAGUGGCCCUUAUAUUUUUCAACCCGAAAGGAAUUACUUUGUAACAAAAAUUUCCUCACAUAGUGAUGGAUGUAGUUUUCUCCAUGUCAUCUUUAGCCAUCCUAAUUUGAUUAUACCUUGAGAAUCCAUCCAUAAAAGAAAAUAUAGAGUGUUUGGCUGUAUUGUCUACUAGGGUAUCAAUGUGAGGUAAGAAAAAGUUAUCCUUUAGGCUUACCUUAUUCAAAUCUUGAUAAUCGACACACAUCUAGACUUUUUCAUCUUUCUUCGGUACUGGGACUAUGUUCGCUACUCAAUCUGGAUACUUAGUCACCUCUAAGAAACCUGCAUCAAACUAUUUUUUCACUUCUUCUUUGAUCUUUAAUAAUAUUUCAGGCUUCAUUCAUCUCAAUUUCUAUUACACUGAUUUACACUCUGGCUUUAAAGGAAGCUUAUGCUCCACUAUUUCAGUACUAAGUCCAAACAUGUCUUGGUAGAACCAUGCAAAGACAUUCAUAUAUUCACAAAGUAAUUCUUUUAAUCUUUGCUUAUCAUUCAGGGGUGACAUGCCUAUUUUAACUUCUUUUUUAUUAAUAUCAUCUCUCAGAUUUAUUAAUUCAGUACUUUUCUAGUGAGGUUCAAUUGGUUUCUUCUCUUGUUCUACCAAUUUCACUAAGCCAAGAAGUAAAGUAUCACCAUCCUAGUUCUCUUCAUGAUCAAGUUCAUCAAUAUAUAUUGAAUUUUCAAAAUCAAACCCUAGGUUACUAUCAUGAUUAUCUUUAUAUUUAUUAUCUGGGUACCUAAGAGUAAGUAAAAAAAGAGAAAUAUUGACAAGAUGUAUGGAAUGAAAAUUAAAAAAUAGACAGAAAAAUACAAAUGCAUCACAUCGAUCUUUUUAUUGAAAUGAAUGAAUGAACCAUACACAAGAAAAUAAUCUUAGUACUUUUAGGUAGAAGUAUAGGAAUUUUAUUCACUACAUUACUUUUUGAAAGACUCAAGGAUAAUAAGUAGCUCAAUGAUCUCCCAAUUAUUCAGCUUUGAACCUUGUGGGGUUGGAUACACCAGCGACUCUUUAUCUUGACUUUUAAUCGCCUCCCCUUCCACAAUUUGAAUGGUAAGUUCAGAAAAGGGUUCUUUCAACCCCAUAUCCCGAUUAUUAUCUCUAGGAUAGAUACAUCUUCCUGAUCGAAAGAUGUAAUAAAAAUAGGAAAUAAUCAUUUUUUUUACUCUAGCUCUUGUUCUUUAAGCUUAUCCAUCCUUUUCUCUUUCUUACUUUCACUCAACUUUUCCUUAUCCUCUUUUGUAGGCUUAUACCCUAAGCCAAACCUCUCUUGAUUGUUGAUCACCGCUAGUAGCUUCUGAAUUACUUACUUACUUCUUUCUUAAUCCUCUUUCGAGACACCACCUUUUUCCAAUAUCUAUUUAACAACCAUAUUGGUAGUGGCCGACAAUUGUGGUGUAUACAGCCUAGAUCCUUCACUAACAUAAGUUACAUUAACCACUCAAAAGAUCUAUAAGAAUACUCUACAGCCUCAUCUGUAGUUUUUACAUAUGGGGUUUUUGUUGGUUGGGUCACUAGCAGAUCUUUUUCUCUUAAUACACUCACUAGCUUCCCCUCGACAAUAAACUUUAUCUUCUGAUACAACAAGGAUGGGAUAGAGCCCGUCAUGUGGAUCCAUGGCCUUCCUAAUAAAUAGCUAUAUGAUGGUGAAAUAUCCAUCACUUGAAACUUCAUGUUAAAAUUACAUAGCCUGAUCUAUAGUUAUAGUUCAAUUUCACCUACCACCUCCCGUCUAGCUUCAUUGAAAGCUCUGAUGACUAUGUGGCUAGUUUUCAUGUGAGACAUCUCAAUAAACAACUUAGCCAGGGUGAACAUAGGCAUCACAUUAAUUACAGAGAUGUUGUCAAUAAGAACCUUUGUCAUUGUAUGACUUUUACAUCUAAUCAUAAUAUGCAGAACUUUAGUACUCCCUUUUCCUUUUAGGAGAAUCUCAUCGUCAUUAAAGGAAAUGUAAUUUGAGGCCACCAGAUUUUUCACAAGGUUAUCUAUGUACUCUACAGAUACAUUAUGGGAUACAUGUGCUUGAUUUAAAACCUUUAAUAAGGCAUUACGAUGAGGCUCUAAAUUCAACAAUAAUGAUAGAAGUGAGAUCCUAACUGGCAUUUUGUUUAGCUGUUCCAUCACACUGUACUCAUUAUGUUUGAUUAGUUUCAGAAACUCACAAGCUUUCUUUUCAAAAAUGGGUUUCUAGUACUCCUAUCUUGGCACUGCCAUAGAUCUUUUCUAUUCCCUUCUUCUUUUCUAAUUUUUUUUCUCUUUCUCAUUUUUUCUACCAUUUUUGAAAAGUAACAUCUUUCACUCCUAGUCAUGCUACCCACUCUAGUUAUAUUUGUCAUAUCAUAAUUGCUUGAUAUAUCUCUUUCAUUUGACCCCGUCGUUACAACCUCACAAUUGUAUUUUCAUGGUACUAUCUUAUUAUUUUGGUAUGGGAAAAGACUAGAGAUUUUGAAAGUUAUAACUGAUUUAGAAGUGGGUUGACUCUCUAUUAGCUUUGGCCUCUUGUAAUAUACUGUCACUAGUUUCGGGGUAGGCUUUGAAACCUGCUCGGUGGUGGAUACCUCUACAUUUCUUGAGCUUCUUUCAUCUUUGUAAAACUUAAUUUGGAAUGAAUCCAUCAAUUGUUGUAGAAUUUGAUGAAACUAAUCAUAGUUUUUAAUCGAAUGCCUUAUAGCUCCCUUAUGGUAUUUACACUUUAAGGAUGGGUUGUACUCUCCACGGUAAGUAUAUUGGUCCACUGGAUACAGUAUCUUUACUCUCAACAAGGCAUUAAACACCUUAUCUAGAGGGGUCUUAAUCUUAUCUACCCUUCUUUUGAUCUUGCUGGUUUGAUCCUUAUGUAUGACAUUAAUUGUUGCCCCAGUAUGGGUUGACAGAGGGUUACCAUUGACAUUAGGUGCCCCUUCUUUUUCAAAGCUUAUCAAACUCUUUUUUAUCAAGUUUUACACCUUGUGCUUUAAAGAGAUGCAGUUUUCUAUAGAAUGGCUUAUAACCCCAUAGUGAUAAUCACAAUGAGCAUUUGGGUCAUACCAUUUAGGGAAAGGUGAUUGCAUAGAAUCUACAAAGACAUGAGCUACUAAAUUUUUCUCCACGAGCUGUGAGAGUAAGUCUGUAUAAGGUAUAGAGAUUGGGUCAAAUGUGACAUUCUCUUGGUUGUUUCAUGACACUCUUAAAUUACUUGGCUGGGUAUUCUAUUUAGGGGUAAAUCUUGCUUGAGGUAUGGUGGAUGAAUUAUAUAUGUGUACGGGUGGUUGUGAUUGAAGGGUUGGUCGAUAAACUUGCUGGUAUGAUGGUUGAUAUGGGUAGUGGGUAGCGGUAAUUGGGCUAGAUACAUAGGGUGGUUAUAAAAAUGAACAUAACCUCUAAAUUGUUGGCCCUCACAACUCACAACAUGAGUUUUUCUUUUUUUUUCUUAAAUGGGCCAUUCUUCUUUGCAUCGAUUGUCUUUCUUCCAUCUAACUUACCGUUCUUAAUAACAUUUUCAAUCAUCUCACCUAAUAUAACCAUAUCAAUAAAAUUUUUCGUAGCAUUUCCUAUUAAUCUUUCAUAAUAGGGAGACUUAAGAGAACUGACAAAAAGCACUGUUACCCUUUUUUCUGUGAGAGGUGGUAGGACUUAAGAAGUAACAUCUCUUCAUCAUUAAACAUAUUACUUGAAACUUUCUGUGAUUUUUUUCUUCAUACUUUGUAAAGAGAGUCGGUCAGGUAAUAAGUCCAUAAUGUGUCUAUAUUAGGUUACAAAUGCUUUUGCCAAGUCAUUUCAGGAUUGGAUACGGGCUCAAUCCAAUUAAAUGUACCACCUUAUCGCAGAGCCUAUAAGGCUAUCUUGAAAGACAUGCAUCAAUAAUUUCUCAUCAUGAACAUGGGUGACAAUUUUUCGAUAAUACAUGGUAACGUGGGUUAACGGGCAUUUAGUCCCAUCGAACUUUUCAAAUUCAAAGAUUUUAAACUUUGAUUGGAUGAUCACAUCUAGAACUAAACAUAAUUAGGCUGCAUCCAUAAUGCCAAAAUAAUCCAUACCCUCAAUGGCUCGAACUCUAUCCUUUAAAAUAUUCAUUUUCAAUUAAGAGCUUGACUCUUCAAUUACCUUAGAGGUUUUUACUUUCAAUCUAUUUUUCUUUUUAAGGUCAUCAAAAUCAGAGACUUCAACUGGGUCUGUUGUCUUUACCCUAAAAGUGGGGUUAGUGUAACUACGAUAUGGUACUUCAGGAUAGGUGUAAGCAUAUGCCCUAGAAAAUGGCAUGUAUGGGACCUGUGUCUCUUGAGAAGAUUGACCUUGGUUUGGAUCAAACUUGGAAGGGUAUAAUGGAUCCACAAUAUCUUACCUUUCAUUCGGAUUAGGGGUUUCUUCUACUAUCUUACCGUUGUCCAGUUUUUUAAACAUUUCAUCAACUUCGUCAACUUCCUAUUUAUCUCCUCUUAAGCUUUCUCGAACUUAUCCAUACAGGUAUUUUGUUUCUGUUCCAUUUGUCUGGCUUGCAAUAGAGUAUUAUAUGGGUGACGUAUAGGUUGGCUCAAAUUUAUCAACUGUCGAGCUAUCCUUGAACAUUUAAUACCAUAUCUCAGAAUUAGCAAGUUUAUAUGACUAUCUCAUGACAACCUAAGAUGAUUAUUUUGUUAAAUGAAAUGAAUGAGAAUGCAAUGAAUGAAAAUGCAUGCAUGCAAAAAACAUUUACCUUAAGAUAGUGUUUAACCAAAAGAUUUUAUUUAUUCCAAAAAAACUUUAUUUACAUAGAAUUUAUCAUUCUAGAGUUAUAACCAUAGAAUCAUUUGAUCUGCUCAACUAGUCUUUUGCUUCCUUAAUGAAAUUCAAUAGGCAUUGUCCAUGUUUCCCUACUGGGGCCACCACUUGCUUCAACGCUUCUACCUCUUCGACCAUUUCUCUUAUCUUACCUACCUCUUUACAAAUUUUGAGUUGUCAAAUGCUCGAUAUACCUCCGUCUUCCUAGGUUUUUCCUUUUACCACACCACACUUGGUAUGAUAAUUUUCUAUGCUCUCUAACCAAUGCAGUGAUAUAGUCUUUUUGUUCAUUUAACCUUUGUUUUAACCUGCUUAGGUAGUUAUUUAACAUGUCAUUUUUUGUCUGUACUUAGGUACUUUCUUCUUCUAAUUUAGCAUAUUCCUGUUUCAAUGGCUCAUUCUCAUCAGUCAGCUCAAGGAUUGUUAUCUCCUUGGCUUUAACCCUUACACAUAACCUUUUAUGUUCUUGGUGUAGCUCCGGUAGAUUUUUAACAGCUGUAUCAUGUUCUUUAGCAAUCUUAUAAACUUUGACUUCAUGUUUUUUAGCUCUAUCUUUUCAUUGAUCUUUCUUCUCUUGAAGCUUUUUGAUUUCUUACUUUAGCUUAUCUUUUUUUAUCUCGAAUUAUUUUUUCGUAAGCUCCAAUUCUGAUGGUAUUUCUUCAAGCUUUUCUCUUAUUGGUUGUUGAAAACCUUCAUGAGUGAGUGCCAUUUCUUGUACUCGUCUUGUUCUCCAAGCUAAGUACCCAUGAGUAACCUUAUCAAUGAACGAUCUAGGACUCACUCUAUGGGAGUUUUUCAUGCUUUAAUCACAUCAUUCAUCCUCUGAAAUGCUUUUGGCUUACUGUAAAAAAAAUUUGAUUGAUGAAGCUUAUGUGUCAUGAGAAUGAACUGUUCGACCUCAAACUAUCUUCUCACUAGAAGUGACGCAUAACUUGUUGUUCCCCAUAGACCCAGAAGUGGGACCACAGUGUUAUCUUCACACUGAUAUAGCAUGGGUUCACGAUUCAUCCACGAGACUAACCAUCUCAUCUCGGUGUUUGUCAGCUUUUGUAAAAAAGCUAUCCAUUCUCUUUUAGACUUUUACUCUGGCCACUCACUUUCACAGAAUUUCUUGAUUGAAACUCGAUUACGAAAAUAAAGCUUUGAGAAUGCACUUUUUUUACACUCAAAAUGGCUUUUCAUCCAUAAAUACAAUAGUUAUAUACAGCCCGUGAAACGUCUUCCAUUCUGACGACAGUAACUCAAAGAUCUAAUAGUCUCUGCCAAUGUCACUGUUGAAGGGUUACAGCCAUUGAUCACGCUUUUGAAGAAGUCAACCACUACUAUUUCAAUAUACCCCAAAACCUUUGAAAAGAUCACCAUUCCAUAUAUGGCCAAGGCAAACACGUCUAACCCCCGCUCUUCGUUGGCAUGUUAUACUAAGAAAUUGUAAAAAAACUUUCAAGAUAAAUAAACCUGUUCUUAUUUCUUCUUUGUAUGAAAAUCACAAUCUCCUUGUUUAUCCCCAUCAUAUAGGCCAAAUUCUUAAGGAAUCCUGAUUUGUGUUUCUUAACAUAUAUCUUGUCAUGGGCCUUGAGGUGUAGACCCAACAGAGUUGAAUAUUCUUUGAUAGUUGAUGCCAUAUCAACUUCAUUAAAAAUGAAACACUUUUAUGAAGGAUACCAAAAUUGUACUGUAGCUCUAAUUACUUUAUUCUUGACAUUUAUUGCAAGAUGGUGUGUUAUAUGCCCAUGUCUCUGGCAAAACUCAUCUUGUUUUGAUGGACUCAUCUGCUUCCAUAUAUCAACUAAAUCCUCUAGAUUGUUUUGUUUGAAAAGGAUAGAUAUUUCUUGAGACAAAAUGGAAGCAUAGCCAAUUGGUAGACAAUCCGCUUCCUUUUGUUGGAUCUUUUUUGAAUGAACCUUUACUUCGUUUGGUGACUCACACGGAGCUAAUACGGAUGAAGAGCAAACUAGUCGUUCUAUGGAGUCCAUGAAAAACUCUUUGUUGAAGACUGUCUUUUUAGGUAAAUAUUCUUUAUGCCACUUCAUGAUAUGAGUAUGAAUCAUACAAAGAUGAAAAAGAAAGACAGUUAGUACACUAGAUAAGAAAAAACAUAUAAAUAACUAAAGUAGAACAUCACACAAUAAAAGAAUGAAUCCUAAGCUUUUGGUCAAUUCUAAAGGGAAAGAGAGGGCUUUAUCUAUAGGUUAGUCAUUCCUAAGGUUCAUUAUAUGUAGUUUAAAGAUUGAAAAUCUAAAGAUUUUCAAAUUGUAUUUUACAUCAUCGUUCGUCACAGACUAGUAAGGCAUCCCAAUCCUCACCCAUUACAGGCUGCAAGCGAAAAAGGUUUAAUUUGAGUGAGAGAAUUUUGCUAGCCACUGCGGAGGCAUUAAAAUCUCUCGAAAGCAUAGGUACUUUACUACCUCCUAAAGGGAUGAAACUCGGGUAUAGAACUCAUGUUAUGCAUAUGCAUAUGAAUGACAAAGUGAACAAAGUAAAUAAAUAGAAUGAAUGAAUAAAAAUUUAUACAAAAAGUUUAAUUUUAUUAAGCUUUUGGAUAACACAAAUUUAUUUGCUGGCCUGACUCUCGACUUUCCCCAGUGGAGUCGCCAAACUAUCAUAACAUCUAGAUCCGGAGACUUAUCGCUAAAUAUUGACUUAAGGAGUCACCACAAAUAUUUUUUGUUUAGGUACAAUUGGUCACUUAACUAAAUCUGUCCCUUUUUAGAGAGAAAUCAUAAGUUUGACUUAGGUAUCUUUGCAAGGUAGAUUCCAUAUCCGCGAAACCAGAACUAGAUUUGAGAGUGGGGUUACGUGUGAGGAAGGUUAUAGCACCCCCACAACAUCUAUCAAAAGAUGGUACCAGCUUGAUUUCAUGUUAUCCAUUAGCCUUAAAAACUUUACUAAGUAAUUAAUUAUUAAAAAUUAUUCUUAAUUGACUCCAAUACUUUUGAUAAAAAAAUUAAGAAAAUUCCCUCAUUUCAAAAGUAUGCAAGAAAACUAUUAUUUCUCUCACAGAGGCUCUGUCGUCGAAUUAUUUAUUAUUAAAAAUUUUCAAAAAAAAGAAGAAAAAGAAUAAUGAUUCGACUCUUGAUAUAGAUCUUUUGUAGUUUUAUAAGAAAAAAAACUCAUGUUUUUAUACAAAAAUUUUGAUACUUUCAACUUUUCUUUAAAGUAUUUUAAGGUUUUUUAUUUUCAAAAAAAUUGAUACUUUUAACUUUUCCUCAAAAGAUGUUUUCUUGAAAAUUUUAUUUUCAAAGAAAAUUGGUAUUUUCAACUUUUCCUCAAAAAUGCUUUUUGAAAAAUUUUAUUUUCAAGGAAAAUUUAUACUUUCAACUUUUCCUUAACUUUUUCUCAAAAAAUAUUUUCUUGAAAAUUUUAUUUUUAAGGAAAAUUGAUACUUCAAACUUUUUUCUCAAAAAUGUUUUUUGAAAAAAUUUAUUUUCAAGAAAAAUUGAUACUUUUAACUUUUUCUCAAAAAAUAUUUUCUUGAAAAUUUUAUUUUCAAGAAAAAUUAAUACUUUCAACUUUUCCCAAAAAAAAUAUUUUCUUGAAAAUUUUAUUUUUAAGGAAAAUUGAUACUUCAAACUUUUUUCUCAAAAAUGUUUUUUGAAAAAAUUUAUUUUCAAGAAAAAUUGAUACUUUUAACUUUUUCUCAAAAAAUAUUUUCUUGAAAAUUUUAUUUUCAAGAAAAAUUAAUACUUUCAACUUUUCCCAAAAAAAAUAUUUUCUUGAAAAUUUUAUUUUUAAAAAAAAUUGAUACUUCCAACUUUUUUCUCAAAAAUAUUUUUUUGAAAAUUUUAUUUUCAAGAAAAAUUGAUACUUUCAAUUUUUCUAAAAAAAAAAAAAACGUUUUCUUGAAAAUUUUAUUUUUAGGAAAAAUUGGUACUUUCAACUUUUUCCUUAAAAAUGUUUUUUUAGAAAAUUUUAUUUUCAAGAAAAAUUGAUAUUUUCAAUUUUUCCUCAAAAAUAUUUGAUUUUAAAAUUUUUAUUUUUAAAAAGAAUUGGUACUUCCAACUUUUUCUCAAAAAUAUUUGAUUUUAAGUAAUUAUUGAAAAUUAAAGAAUGUUUAAUAAAAUAAAUUAUUUCAAUUUAAUAAAAAAAACACAUAAGCAAAAAAAAUAGUAAAUAAAUAAAUAAUGAUAAUAAAUAAAUAAAAACCUUAGCUCGGCUUUGGCUAGGCUUGGAUAGUAUGCGGCUCCAAAGACAAACUCGGUUGGAGUGGCUCAGUGCGCAACUUGGCUCACUCCACUCAACAGGAGCUAGGUGAUACGGGUAGGCGGGUCGAGGCGUUACAGGUCGGGUUGGACCAUAAGGAAACGCAUGGAUCCUAUCGGGUUCUUAGCUCAAAAUGACUUCAUUUUUGGACUAUAUAAAAGGCAAAAAAAAGUCUUCUGGUCCUCAGACACUCAUUCCCCUUUCUCUUUUUUCUCUUCUAUUUCUUGCUUUAGGUGAUUUUCAAUUAUCGUCUUUCGCUGAAUGCCGUCGAAAAAAUCAUUGAUUUUUUAGUUUUAUCAUCAGAAAUUGAAUUUUUCACUGAAACUUACCGAAAAACUUGAAUAUUUGCCAAAAAAUUCACCAGAUUCUAAAAAUUUUCAAAAAAUUUUCAAAAACUCAAAAAAAGCUAAAAAAAAAAUUAAAAACCACAAAUUCUCCAAAAAAUCUUUUGAAACAAAAAAUUUCCUCGAAUCAUUUCUAUUUUCUCCCUCUUUUCUUUUUUGUGUUCUUACUCUUGUGAUUGAUGAGGUUUAUAUAAGAUUGGGUAAAUGGUUUAAUGGGAUUUCAAAAUCAAACUUUUCCUUUCAUCCAAUCUGUUUAUUCUCGUUCAAAAAUCAAAUCUUUGAUCUUAUUUUUAAAAAUUAAACUCUUAAUCCUAAAAUUUUACUAAAACUGAAAUUUUAUUUUUAUUUAUUUAUUAUUUUAAAUAUAUUAAACUUAUAUGAAAAGUGGGUGUCUACAGUAUCAAUCCUUCUCAUUUCGCUUACACAAUUUUAAAAGCAGCCAAAUGAUGACUAAGUCUAUAAGACGACAAUAUCUCCUACGCAAGAAGUCUCCAGGAUGGCAAUAUCUCUUACGCAAGUAAACCGGACCCACAUUUAAGAAAAGGAAAAAUCAAACAAAAAGGCUGCUGAUGUGAGUGACAAAUUAAAAUAAGCAAAGAACGCACAUGAUUGUGAUGCAUGUUAAAGAAGUCUAACUUGGAAAAUUCCACCCAUUGAAAGAUUGGUCCAAAUUUUUUAGCAAUGCUCAUAUUACGCCGCCCCUCUAUCAAAGCAAAUACAUUUUAUUUCUCUACACCACAAAAUAAUAAAAAAAAAAUCAAAUCAGAUAAGAUCAAACAAACACAGAGCUACCAGAAGCAAAUCAAACAAUGGAAGAAGCAACAAUUCUUUACUCAUUUCUUUCUUUUAUCUUUCUCAUCAUUUGUUUAAACUUGUUCUUUCAUCAAGAAAACACCCCAAAAACCUCCCUCCAAGCCCACCAUCACUACCCAUAAUUGGCCACCUUCACUUCCUGAAACCCCCCAUCCAUCGUUUGUACCAGUCUUUCACAAAAAUAUGGUCCAAUCUUCUCCCUCCGCCUCGGUUCUCAGCUUCUUGUUGUAGUAUCAUCCUCAACCGCAGCCGAGGAAUGCUUCAUCAAGAACGAUAUAGUUUUUGCCAAUCGCCCCAAGUUUAUCAUAGGGAAACACUUAGGCUACAACAAUACCACAGUUACAACAUCGUUUUAUGGUGAUCAUUGGCGCAACUUACGUCGAAUUGGUGCCAUUGAAAUCUUCUCAUCAACUCGUCUAAACGCCCCGUAACUGUUCGAAAAGACGAAAUCAGGCGCUUGUUACUAAAAUUGUCGUGUGAUUCGCGUCAAGAGUUUGCGAAAGUGGAGCUGAAAUCUAUGUUUAAUGACAUAACCCUUAAUAACAUAAUGAGGAUGUUGGCAGGGAUGUGGUACUAUGGAGAUGAAGUGACGAAUGAAGAAGAAGCAAGAGAAUUUAGGGAACUUAUGGCAGAGGCAUUCAAGAAUAGUUGAACAGCAAAUCCAGCAGAUUACUUUCCUAUAUUGAACUGGUUUGGUGAAGGGUUUGAAAAGAAGGUGAAGAAGGUUGGAAAAAGGAUGGACAGGUUCUUGCAAACUUCGAUUGAGAAUCACCGAAGCAAGAGGCAGGACAAUAAUAGUAUGAUUGAUCACCUUCUUUCCUUGCAAGAAUCUGAGCCUCAUUACUAUACUGACGAAAUUAUAAAAGGGUUCAUAUUGGUAAUUAGUUGAAUCUUUGUCUUUUUUUCUUUUUACUUUUCAAUAUUUUAUUAUUGAAAGAUAUUCGGUUUUGAAUUCGGAGCUUAGCUUAAUUGGUUCAUGUUCUUAAUUUUAGAAGAUGACAUUCAAAUCUGAAAUGUCCUAAACUAACAAAUUAACGUUGUUGUGUAGGUGAUAAUACUUGCAGGAACUGAUACAUCAGCAGUCACAAUAGAGUGGGCAAUGUCCAAUUUGCUAAAUCAC